rnacentral:lncRNA from 1 species
CAACAUUGAUGAUAUAAGCAUCUGGGGUGGGCUUAACUCGAACCCAUUCUCCAUCGGUUUUUCGAUUUACUUCCAACCCUCCAACAUCAUCCUGAGCAAGGAAAGUUAAGGCUCCGGAAUCCUUGUGGCGACCAACGCCCAGAGCUAGGUGAGGAAUGGAGCAAGGUGGGUAGUGAUUGAGGCGGAUGAAGUUUGUUGAUUCUUCAUUCAGGGAUUAUUUCAUCCCUUUUAACCAAAUAUUUAACAUGAUCAAAGACUAUUCCCUAAAUGAAGGCAUACUGUAGCAAAUACCCUUAAUCUGAACAUUGAAAGUACAACUUAAACUAGUAUCAAACACUCUGUUUUUAAACCCAUAGCUACUCCAAAUAUCCCAAAUACUCUUUUCUAUGUAACCUCUCUUUGUCUCUUUCUCGCUCACACACACAUGCUUCCCCACAAAAAUACAUACACACAUAGAGAAGAACACAAUCUCUUAUCCGAUUCCCUUCCGAUUUAUGAUUCUAAGCUGGCGGGUCACUCUCUUAUUCUUUUGCUUUCUUGCGAUGGAGCUCCAUGCUCUCCUUUCCUCAUUUUUUUUCUUGGAUAAAUACUCUAUAAAACAUCCUCUCUCGAUGCUCUAUCUAAACUCACUUGCUCAUUUCACAUUUUUUUCUUUUUGGAUGCUUUCUUUAUGCUCCCAGGCAUAUGCCAGUUUUUUAUGACUAUUUUUGAAGUUGGGAUUCAGAAUUCACUAAAAUCUUUUCUCAAACUUGGAUUUUUCUCAACUCAACCCUAACUUCUUUUCUAUCAGUACCAAGGCUAGAGAAUAUAGUUUAUACCCUUGUAUUUCGUUAUGUACCAAGCCCACAAGAUGAUCAAUAAGUUUCUCUCUAGAUUUUACAUUGGAGUUGAUUGAUGACAUACCCUUAUUAGGUACUAUAUUCUCUUCCUUAGGUAUUGCUUUUUCCUUCCUUAGAUACUACCUUUGCAACCUUGGGUGCACGAUCGAAUCCAUCGUUUCAUGGCCACUUCAAGUAAGUCAGGAACUUAUGUACAUGUGUGCUACAUGUCUUAUAGGUAUUACCUUUACAUUCUGUAGGUACUACCUUUACCUUCCAUAGGUACAAAUAUGAUUAAUAAUAAGAAUUUUAACAUAAAAAAGGGAAAAAUCAUGUCUGAUAAUAAAAUUGCAUAUAUUUUCUUUCUUGCUUUUUUUUUUUUUUUUGGGUCUUUGCUUUGGUUUUUAUUUAUGUGUUUGUUUCUUUUAGUCUUUGUGUGUGUGUGUGUUUUAUUUUAUUUUAUUUUUUUCAUCCCUAUGCAGAAGAUGUAGAGGAAGCAACAUCACAUCAUAAGGUGCAUUUUUCUGUUCAUUUAAGCCUAAAGGUUCUGGAUUCACAAAAUGGUGGGAACUAAGGGUGAGAAACUGGAAAAAAAAAUGUUGGAUUGAGCUACAUUUGAUCAAUAGUGAAUUUGCAAAAAAGAUUGUAGGAGAGGUUUCUUGAGGUGGACAAGGUCAGAAGCAAGGAGCCUUUUCCUAGUUUUUGGGAAGAACUUAUUGUUAACGUGUGAAUUCAUUAAGGGUAAUUUAUGUAAGAUUUUCUAGAUUUUGCAAGUGAAUGCACCUUAGCUUUUCCUAUUGUAUUUGUGUUUUUUUAGGUUGAUUAUUUUAUUGAUCGUCACCACUCAAGGAAUGGAAGCAAUAGGGUCUCUAGAUGUACUGCGUAAAGGCGGGCAUACAGGCGUUGUUAGGAAUGUGUUUCCCAUGUCCAACAAGCAUAUUGACACCACCUAAAGCCAAGGCAUCUUUGGACGAGGAGUUCUAGCUUCUACUUCUGUGGACUUUGUAGAUGUCGUCUGGCUCUUCUAAAUAUUUAUUGUUAUGUAGUAGUUAUACACAUGUACUUUGUUUAAGUGAAUUGAUUAUUGGAUUUUUAGUUAAAUCAAAUUUAAGGGUAUGUUGUUUAAUUUACUAGUGAUCUCUUGUUUGUAAUUCUCGUUAUCAUAUAUAAAUCUUUGUUAGCAUUUUCCAAUUUCCUCAAUAGCAACUAUAUUAGUUUUCAGUGGAAUGAAUCUUGAGUAACUUGUAGUAUCAUUUUUGGUUUUGAAUUGACUAAUCUGUUUUGGAAGGAUGAAUUAGAUAUAUGAGCUUGAUUGCUAACAGUAGUUGAGUUUGUUUUGAUCUCGGGAUAUUUGCCUUGUUGAAUAGGACGUAGAUUUUGGGUCCAAAGAGUUGAAAAUUGAUGAGCUUAACCAAGACAUAGGAGAACCACAUGCAACACUAACCAGAGUUCCUACAACAAGCUAAUAACCAUGAUUUAGAAAUGUGAUUUCGUUAAAGGGAAGCAUUUCUAAUCUUAUUUGAAAGGAAACUUUGAUGUCUUCCCUAAUACACUAGAAUAUUAAUUUAAAAACAACAAUUAAGGUUAUAUUAACUAUUAUAAUAAUUUAUAAAUUAUAUAAAUAUGAUAAUAACUAUUAAAAUGAAAGUAUUAAAUGUAAAAAAGUUUAAUCUUGUUGGGUAAAAACUUCAUCAAUCUUUUAUUAUUGAACUUCUAUUAUAUAAUCAAACAUAGUGAUGAUCCUCGGUUGGAUUAAUCAACACUUGUUUCAUAAAUUGAACAACAUAUAACAUGAUCAACCAUAAACAAACAAGUAAACAUCAUACUAGAUAAAACUAUCUCUUAAGAUUUCUAUUAUUACAUGUUUAAAUUACAAAUCAUAUUUUUGCAACUUUCGUAAAAUUAUGCAAUAGAUAUGAUUAAAAUUACGAAACAUCGGAAAUGUAUAUUGAUUCAUUAUUCAGAUUCAUCAUAUCAUAUAUAUCCUUUAGUAGUCCAUAAGAUCAAAUAAUAACCAAAAUUCAAAAAAUAUGUUUUAUGAUCCAAAAUUGAUUGACACUAAUAUCAUUUGUUAAAUAAACUUUAUGUGAAAUAAUUAUUUUGGAAAAUCAAUUUGGAUGCAUAAUGCAUAAUAGGUAUAAGAAAUAAAGAAAUGACAAAAUAAUAAUUAUAUUCUUGUCUUAAUCCAUGAUACUGAUAACACUUGUAAUGUGAAUUUGAGUCAUUUUGUGAAUUGUUGGGUCAAGGUCUUCAACUCACCAUUCUCAUUUAGUAGAUGAGUCAAUUGUGUGGUAUAUGUUGUUAUAAGUAAAACAACUAAAAACAUAAGAAUGCAAUGUGACUUAGGACCUUAACUUUAUAAAAAAGAUUUAUAACUCUUAAUAUUCUCAUAAAAGAUUAUAUGAAAGUUAUACUCAUUAUUUAUAAACAUUAUACACAGAUUAAUGGACAAUGGUAAACUACCAACUUGAAUACAUUCAUGUAAUUGUAUAAAUUACACUUUUUCAUCUUCCUCUAUUAGUCAUAAACUUUAUGUACAAAUGAAAUCUCAUAAAGAUGGAGUUACACAAGUUGUAAUACCAUAUUCUUAUAAAUGAAAUUUUUCUAACUCUGUAUUUAUAAUUUUAAUCUUCUAUGUUAGAAGUUGAAUUUGUUCCACGUCGCCAAGUUAUUGGGUUAUUAUGUUGUUCAUAUAUGUAGAUUGGUCACCUCUCCAAGCUAGCUUUUGGGAAUGAAUUCUAUUCAAACCCAUUUAACAUGGUAUCAGAGCUUGGUUUGACUGUGGGUUGUGGGUUCGAGCCACCUCUCUGCAAUUCGCAUGUUUGUUCCUUAUUUGCAUGUUUGGAAGUCUAGAAAAGGUUAUUUGCAUUUGUUUGUCUCUUCACGUGUGGAUAUGGGACCACACAUAAGAGAGGGUGUUAAAAAGCUUGAUAUGUACGUAUAUUGAACCUAAAUCUUAUAAGUUUAAGCUUUUAGGAAAAUUAGUAAUUCAACAUUCUAUACAUAAAAUUAUUUGAUGUCCAAUCAAUUGAUUCACCUACCUAUCAAUUAAUAUACUUUUAAAUAAAAUAUAUUUCAAUCCAUUACACAAAUAUAAUUAAAACAAAAUACUAUAGUAAUGUGAGUAUGUGAUAAAUAAAUAAAAUAAAAAUAAUCACGUGUUACAUGUAAACUAUAUUCAAAGGAAAAACCCACUAUUAAACAAUCCAUUGUAUAAUGAUCAAUUACAAAGACCAAGUAUUACCAAACUUAAAAGUAUCUAAAUCAUACUCACUUUGCACAUUUUCUUUAUACUUGGAUCCUUUAAACACAUUUAUCCCAAUGUGGAUGCAUCUUGAGUUCUAAUCAAGGAAAUCAACCUUUGAGUAAAAUUUUCAUCAAGUUAAAGUCUCUUUAUAUCAUUGAGAACCAUAUCAAGAUUUCUUUUUGUUGGUUGCUUUCAAAGUCCCACUAGAAUUAGAAUGAACAUUUUAUAAAUUCUAGGACUUUAACAUAUGAAUUCUUCAAUGAGUCAAUCAAAUAUUAAAUUUUAUCUCCAUAGAUGGACCUCAAUGAAUUUUUCAACAAAUUAAAGGUGUUAACACUAAUUUCAUAUUAGAAAAAAAAAAAAAAUCAUGUGACACAUAUUGAUAUAUAUAUAUAUAUAUAUAUAUAUAUAUAUAUAGGUGUUGUCUGGGAUAAAUAGAUUGAAUUCAUGAGAAAAUUAUUCUUAAUUUUGUAAAAAUUAUAUAUAUAAGAAAGUUUUUAGACUUACUAAAACACAUUACUAAUCAAGUGGUAAUAUUUAUAUCUCAUUAUUUUGUAAUCAAGUCUCAUUCAUUUGUAUCACAUAUGAGUCCUAUUAUUUUAUACCUUACUCUUAUUAUAUUGUACUUUGAUCUUAUUUGUUUAUACAUCGAUUUCAUUUCUUUAUAUGUUCAUCAUAUUUAUUUAUAUCUCGAUCUUAAUUAUUUAUAUCUUUCAAUAGUUUAGAUUUCAAUACAUAUUUUUAAAUAUUUUAAUUGGAAAUUCAAUAUCUUACUAUUUUUCUAAAUAGCUACCUAUAAUCCUUUGUAGACUCAAAAUUCACUUCAAGCCAUCAAAAAAAUCGACCUCUCUUUGUAAGUUGCUAUACUCAUUGCUAAACUAUAAUUCCAAAAAUAGCAGAACUUUUCAUACUUAUUCUAGGCAAUUAGAGUCGAGAUGUUCCAGGCAUAUACCAUUGUCUUUCAAGAUUUGAAAGAAAUGUUACGAUUUCAGCAUGAAAUAAUGCAUGUCGAUUAACAAUAUUGCUCAGAUUCUUUAGGCAAAGGUCCCAGCCUAGAGAUUGAUAAUGUUUCUUUGAAGCAAAAUGACAAAAUGGAAUAACACAAGAAAGCCAGAACCAAUUAAGUGUCCACAGACAAAAAAAUUUAUUUAUUUAUUUUCUGAACCACCCCUGAAAUUGACACCUCCCAUACAGUCUGCAUUUCUGUGGCACUAUUUCCCUUAUUCCUAACCAUAAAUCUGCUGCCAUCUCAAUAAUUCACAUCCUUAUCCACUCCUUAUCUAGGGUUGUAACACUUUUUUCAAAAAGAUUUUUUUUUUUUUUUUUCUAAGGGGUGGAUAAGGGUCCUGAGACAAGCUGUGGAAUAAUUAUAAACCCACUUGGGUAAUGGUUUCAUUGUCAGGGUAAUACUAUUUAAGGUGAAAAUCAGCUGGGUCUAUCAUUCUUGUUUCCAUAUGACUGUUUCCAAGGAUAACUCAACCUUCAAAUCCAUCGAGCAGUCAUAUAAAAAUACACGCAGAUUUCAUAUUUUGAAGCUUGUCCUGUGUUCAGAUCGGAUAACUCACUCAUAUGCCUAAUCACCAAUCGCCAACUUGAGCGUAAAAAAAGCGUGGGGCGAUAUUAUUUGUAUAUGGGUUUGACUGUUUGAGAGAGAAAGGUGGGGUGUCCCUUGGAGGAGUCCAAAGGCCAUUUUUGAACCUGCCUUUGAUUAUCGCCAUGGCAAAUCAACAGCUUGUAGUGUAUAUAUAUAUAUAUAUAUAUAUUAAUGGAGACCAAGACUCAAAUAGAGAGAGAGACGCGGGAUGCGAUAAAGAGAACAGUAUAGCCAAGAGUAUAUAAGCAUUUCUAUUGCUGUAAUGGUGAUUCAGAGACUGGAAAUGUGUAUAUCACUGCUGAAAAUGGCAGUAGAGUUUGUGCUUGUUUUCGCGGAGGCAGUCGGGCUAGUCAUCAACCACAAUGCCACGCCGCUUUUGGCAAACUCAGCCUCAGUUGGCAAUGAUGUUUCUGUCCCUUUUAUCGGUUUUCUUCUUUGAAUUCUUCGUCUUGUAGUUUCCUUCCUUAGCAGAAUGCCCAUUGGCCAUUGUAUACGUUGAGGUUUCAUUUUUGUCUUGAUAGAUUUUGCCUUGGAAAGUGUCUGUACUACCAGCUAAAAGAUGUGAAUGUUUGAUAGGAGAGAGUACAUAUAACAUCUUUGUAAACUUCGAUUAAUUUUGGUUCUGGGUGAGCUUCAUCUUCUGCAAAUUCAUUUGCUGGUAGCUUUGGAAAUGAAUCUUCAGUGGUUUGGGUGGUGAUUAUUUGCUUGCUUCACACGAUUUUAUGUGUUGUUCCUUUGGUAAUAAUCUUGUUGGAUGGAUCAAGGAGGAGCGAUGAUCAGGAAAAUAAAGUCGGGAGAAAGAAAAGAUAUAAUGAUGAUUAAGAAAGGCUUUAAUAUACUUGCAAGAUCAGGAAAAAAUAUUUCUUGGUUAAUCAAUUAUUUUCUUGCUUGAUAUGGGUUUGAUACUUUUUGUCAAUUGGUGAUCAUUCUGGGAAGAUCAGGAAGAAGAAAAUGGGGUCUAGAUGAAGAAAAGCUAUAAUGGUGAUUAUUAAUUGAAAUCAGAUGAAAUAAAAGUCUGUUUCCAUCAUUCUUAAUAGGGUUUCAUAGUCCCCGCAGGACUUUAGUACUCAUCAAACUCAUAAAUUUUGAACAACUUUGAGCUAACCUUCUGCAUUAAUUUGGUGCAUCUGCGCAGUUGCAGAGUAUGAACACCCACAAAAUCUUAAUAUGAAUCUUUUGGGGCAAUAGCUUCUAUAUAUGAUGGAUGAUAAGAACAAAGCAAAUCUUGGGUUCUCCAUGGCCACGAUCAUUUAUCCGCCAUAUAAAAUGCAGAUUUUCCUAACACCAACCCCUUAUUUUAAUAAAGUCAAGUUAUUUUAAGGCCCCCAUUAUUAGACAUGCCCUAGAAGCAUUGGGUCUGUGAUUAAAAAAAUGUAGUAAUAUCAUUUAAAAUAUCUAACACUGAAAUUUUGAUAAUUUUGAAUGUCAUAGUGUGGAUUUGAAGAAAGAAAUCGUAUCCAAGAUCUCUUCCUUUUCCUGGGAAACAUUAGUCUUGGUCAAUUAUGAACUGUUACACGUUACCUAUCAUGAUCAUAUUUAUAUUAGCUUUGAUUUCUAUGGGGGUUAUAAUUUAUUUGUAUGCUAAUCAUAGAGGUGAUACAUGUGAUCCACAUGUCAUAUUUGGACUUGGAACCAAUCAUUGGAUUCCUUUGAUGAACUGGCAAUGGAAGAAUACUAAUUGCUCCGGUCCCUUUCUUUUUUCAACGUAGGAUGAUCAGGUCCUUUGAUCUCUUCCACACCCACUGGCUGUUUUUCUUUGUUCCUUUUUCAAUCAUCCAUAGCUGAAAAGCCUUGAUGCCCUCCUUGACUUUCCCAAGAUAAAACACCUUAUCUUCACUUUCUUUCUUUUCCCUUUAAAUUUGAUUUUAGAUCUGAAAUCCAGGGCUUAUGACCCUGUAGAAGAAAGACAGAUAUGAAGCUUGGGAUGAUUUGAACUUCAGUUUGAUUUUCUGCACACUGUUUAAAACUCCUGAAAUAUAGUUGUAUAUUGCAAUACAUUUAUAAUUGAUACAACUGAACCAUGAUGUUUCUAUUAGUAAAAAUUUCUUUGAAUCAAUCCACAGUUCAAAGUACCAAUUUCAAUUGAAACUUUUUUCUUUUCCUGCUUAUUCAAUUGUUUCGUUUUCCACAUAAUGGUAUGACAACAUCAAGAAUACUUCUCAGCAAUUGCCUGCAGGUGAACCCAAAGCUCUUUUGGCUGAGACAUCAUGACCAUGUGAUCAGAUCCUUUAAUCUCUUUAACAGCAUCAGGUGGGUUUUCUUCGAUCAUCCAGAGUUGAAAAUCCUUUUUCGCCAGCUUGUCUUCCUCAGAAAUAAUAAAGACACGUUUAACCGAGGCAUAUUUCUUCGACAACAUGAGAUCCUUUGACAUGUCUUCUUCACUGAACAAGCGUAAGGGUCUCAUCAACAUAGUCCCUAGUGCCAAGUCCUGGAAAAUUUGUGCCCAAAAUGAUAUAACAACAACAAUGAAAAGUCUCAUGAUUUUGGCUGUAAGGCCUGAAUUAAUGAAGUUCUCACCUCAGUUGGGCUCAACUGAUACACAUUCAGUGAUGAGAACAAGGGGCCAAAGGUGAAAGUGGUGGGAGGAUUGUUGGGGCCAUUAUCAUAUGUGAACUGGCUGUCUAGUAGAGGACCUUGUCUCCUGAGUGACUUCAAUAAGAAGUAGAAACCAGGCUAAAAGUCAGAAACAGGGGAAGCCUUCCCCUCUUAAUCAACAAGUAAAUUUCUGUAAAAGAAAAAUAGUAUGUAUGAAGUACCUCUUGAUUGAGAGUGGAAAUGUUGAGAGUGGGACCAGGCAUUGAGGCAGUAACAAAAACAGCUACAGAAACCUUUUCUGGGAACUUCUCCAUGGCCUGAGAAAUGGCCAACCCACCCAAGCUGUGUCCAACGAGAACCACCCUUUCAUCUGCAGGGAGUGACUCCAUGAAGUCCCUCAGUGGCUGGAAAUACUCAGAAAUAGAUCGCAGAUCACCCACUUGUUUUGGGUUAAUUCCAGAAGCAGCCAAGUCCAGAGCAGUGACUUUGUGGCCAGAUGAUUUUAGUAGUGCCACAAUCUUGUACCAAGACCAGGCACCAUGGCAAGACCCAUGAACUAGAACAUAGUGCUUGACGGGAUUAGCCUGUCUCCCCUCUGAUGCCAUUGAAUACACUGAAGAAACAAGAAAAAUCAGAAAGGAAACUAAAAUCGUAUGCUUCUUCCUUUCCUGCGUACUCCUUUCCUGUUACAGAGAUGGUCAGCACCCAAGCAUUUUAAAGGGCACAAUUGGCUUUCACUACAACUACUAAUCUAAUGGAUUAAAAUUUUUCCUGUGAAAUUGACUCUAGAAAUAAAAUAAGGAUUAAGGAUUCAAGAAUAUGUACACAUAGACUGCCAGGGUUUAAAAGAUGACACAUGCACCUGCGUCACACUCUUUUUCAAUGAUAAAGAAGUUAUGCAAAGGAAGAAAGAAUGAAAUAUACAGAGUCUAGUAGUUAACUCCUCCCCUUGAAUUCUUCUGUUGCCCGGAUUGGUUUGUAACUGCAAACAUUUUCUUUUCCCAAUGUGAUCUGUGGAUUGAGUUCUGAUCUCAAUUUGUUUUUGGCAUUUUUGGUUUUGCUUCUGCAAAUCUUGAGAUGUAUCUUUCAAUUAAUAUAAGUAAGUUAUGCAGUAAAGGUUUUUGGACAUAUAAAAUGUUAGCCAAACCUUUCCCAUGGCGGGUUGAAGGUACUUUGGGGUAGGCUUGGUCACGCUUGAUACCUCAAUCGGACUGAAACAUGAUGUUUUCACCCAUUUGAAUUGGUCAAAGCUGUGUUGACUGGCAUGAUUCCUUUAAUAAAGAAGUUGUUUUUGGAUUAAGGCCUACAACACCAAUUUCACUUAAAUACAUCUAUUUAAUAAUUAUGUAUUAACAUAAUUAUAAUCAAUUGAGUCGAAAACAAUUAAAUUAAAAAGUUAAUUAUAUUGACUUAAAUAAAAUCUGACUCAACCAGAUUAUUAAAUAAAUUACUCAACUUAUUACAUGUUUAAUAAUUAAGUCGUAUUUGGGUUUAUACUUUUAACUCAAUUAUUAUUCAUGUUAUAUUUGUGUUGACUUAUUAAGUCACAGUAUCUAAAUUUAAUUUGAUAUGACAUGAACACUACCCACCAACAUUAAUUGUAUCCCCUGUUUUAAGUUCCGGUGGCAUCAUGAGUUUGGCCUCUGUUUUGAGUGUUGAAUUAACCUUUCCCAUGGUUGUCAAGUUCUUCAUAAAUUAUUGGUGAUUGUAAUAAUUUCCUCAUAAAUUAAUGGCGCUAUAUGCUUCUUUAGGAUCCAUUGAUCUUACUAAUUCUCUUCCUGGUAUGGGAAGAAAAUGACUCUUCCAUUAAUGCAGCAUGCAUUGCUACUUAUUUAUCAAGCAAAUUACAUUAUUAUUUUCACACCAAACCUCCAAAUUCAUCAUGUACUUAUCCUAUAUACUACAUGGUGAACUUUAGAGAGCUAAAACAAGCUCUUCUUGAUUAAAGAUAGAUAAUGUCCUAUUGACCUUUUUACUUUGAUGCCUUGAAAUGAGAAAUUUGGAUGUUUUCUACAUCAAGCUUCUUGAAAUUAUUGUGCUUUCUCGUAGUAAAGAAUUUUCCCAAGUUGUGUACUUUGGCUUUUCCCCCUUUGUCAUCUCCUCCAAGGGUUGCACCCAAACACGGUGUUCGGGAUUGAAAAAGAACGGAAUCAAAAACCUUUCCCUCUCUGAAUUCACCAUCACCCUAUGCUCCACACUCUCAUAAGUAUCGUUGCUCCAUACCUGAUUUAAUAUCAAGAUAAUUAGACAAAUGGGUGUGUAAAAUUCCUUGAGCCAAACUGUACUGAUAAGCAAGUACUAAAGACGAUACAGGCUUUGAGAGUUAAAGGUCGUUCUUUCUAUAAAUCAAGGCAAUAAGUAUAUAUACAACAUACAACAUAGUUGCUGUUACAGGCUUACCAAAUUAAUUCCACAAUAAAGGAAACUAUACAUGGUUGGUUACCAAAACAAAAAUAGGAGAUUAGCUAUACAUAUUACUAAAAUAUAGGAUUUGAUAAAGAUUGAAGUGGACUUUCAAAUGAACCAUUUUCCUUAUCAUGACCCCUCAAGAUAGACUUCGAUUGAAUGCCUAGCUUGACGCACAAGUGUUGUAGAUGAGCUAAGGAUUGUGGCUUUGUUAAGGCAUCAACAAGUUGAUCCGCGAAAGCAAAAUGAGGCACGCGAAAAGUGUAAUCUUGAACUCACAAAAUGAAAAUAAAUAGCAAUAUGCUUCAUCCAAAAUGUAAAAUUAGGUUGGCGCAUAAGUAGGUGGUACCGACAUUAUCACAAUAGAUUGGCAUGGGUUUGGGAACUGAAAUACCCAACUCAAGUAAUAGGGAGUUAAGCCAAAGAAGUUUGGAAGAAGUUGUAGCUACAACAUGAUACUCUACCUCAGUUGAGGAACGGGCAACAAAUGUUGCUUCUUUGAACUCCAAGAAAUGACAUUAUGACCUAAAAACACAACAUGAGCACUAGUUAAAGUACGAUCAUCACGAUCACCAAUCCAAUCUACAUCGGAGAAGGCAUGAAGGCUAAGAGGGGAUCCUUUUCGAAGAAACAAACAAUGAUGCGUUGUACCUUUAAGAUAACGGAGAAGAUGUUUGAGUGCCAACCAGUGAGUGGUAGUAAGUCUAUGCAUGAAUUGAGAGAGUUUAUUGAUUGAGAAAGCAAUGUUUGGUUGAGUGAAGAAGAGGUACCGAAGACCACCAACAAUAGAUCGAUACUUAGUCGAAUUGGUCAAGGAUGUGCCAUCCACAAGGCUAGGUAUCUGAGAUGUUGACAUAGGAGUUGUGAAUGACUUGGAAUCCAUCAUUUUUGUGUGCUCCAAAAGAUCUAAAACAUAUUUGUGUUGAGAAAGAAAGAGACCAAAUGAGCUUGGAAUAACUUCAACCCCUAAAAAAUAAGAGGCAACACCUAAAUCUUUAAUGGAGAACCGAGUAGCAAGUGUGUGAACAAAAUGAUUGAGAGUACCAUCAUCAUUGCUAGUAACAAUAAUAUCAUCAACAUACACAAGUAGGAAAAUGGUAAAUAGAGACUUCUUAUGGAUGGACAAUGAAGUGUCAAAUUUGGGGUAGAAACUGCUUCACAAACCCUUGAUGGAGUAGAAACUGCUUCAGUUCUUGAUACAAGGCACAUGGUGCUUGUUUGAGGCUAUAAAUAGCUUUCUUAAGAUGACACACAUGGCUUGGAAACUAAGGAUCAACAAACCUUGGUGGUUGAGCCAUAAACACAUUUUUGGCAAAAGUCCCAUGAAGAAAAAGCAUUGUUCACAUCAAGUUGACAAAGUGACCAAUUGAAGGAAAAUGCAAGACUAAGAAUGAGUAGACCAGUAGUAGGUUUCACAACCGGGCUGAAUGUCUUAGCAUAGUCAAUACCAGGGAGUUGAUGAAAACCCUUGGCGACAAGAGGAGCCUUGUAUUGAGCAAUAGAGCCAUCAGGAUUGCGUUUGAUUCGGAAAAUCCAUUUGCAACCAACUAGAUUCUGUGACUUAGUAGAAGGAUUCAACUCCCAUGUGCCAUUAUGAAGAAGAGCAUCAAAUUCUUCAAACAUAGCUUAACACCACUCAAGAAGCUUUAAAGUUUGGGUAACAUAGGCAGGUGCAACAUCAGGAGUGGUAGAGACAAAAGCAUACUUGGUGGAUGGUUUGAAGACAUUAUUCUUGGAUCUUGUAACCAUGGGAUGGGUGUUGAGGGUAGGGGGUCGAGUGGGUGGGAUGGGGGAAGGGGUAGGAUGUGGGGUUGAAAGCAAGAUUGGGCUUGGAGGGAAACUAUGUUGGGAUUGUGUAGUCUCAGCAUUGGGGGGUAAUAUAAUUGACUGGCCAGCAAGAGUGGUAUCAUGAAUGGUCGAAUGCUUAACUGGAGUGGUACCUAAGAUUGUAUUGUCCUGUGAUGAGGGAAUUGAUACGAGAGGGAAUGGAAUAGAUGGGACUAUGGUGGGUGGAGGUUUCUCGGCAGUUGAAGAAAAGAGGACCAUUAUCUCAACAAAGGUGACAUGAUGAGAGGUGAAUAACUUGUGGGAAACUCGAUCAAGGCAAAGGUAUGCACUUUGUGUAAGAGAGUAACCUAAGAAGACACAUGGACGAGAUUUGGAUUGAAGUUUGUGGUCAUUAUAUGGGAGUAACUAAGGAUAACAAAGACAACCAAACAUUCAUAAUUUGUCAAGAAUUAGGUUUGUGAUUGAAUAAUUUCUCAUAGGAAGAGAGGAAUGAGAGGUUUGGUUUAAGCAUUCGAUUAAUAAGAUAGACUAUAGCUUAAAAGGCAAAGGGCCAAAAAGAAGUAGGAAUGGAUGCAUGAUGGAAAAGGAUGAGUCUGGUUUUGACAAUGUGUCUAUGAUGACGUUUGGAGUAACCAUUAUGCUUAGGAGUAUGAGGUGGGGUGGUGAGAUGAGUAAUGCUAGCAAGAGCAAAAUAAUCUUUUAACGCUAGAAAUUCACCACUAUUGUCAUAAUAGAUUUGAAUUAUUUUGGAACUGAAGUAGUUUUCAACUAGAGCUUUAAAUCGAACAAAAACAUCAUAGACAUUAGAUUUCUUUUGAAGUGGAUAUAACCAGACAUAUUUGGUGAAGUGAUCGACAAAGAUAACAUAGUAUUUAAAGUUAUCAUUUGAUACAAUGGGAGAACUCCAAACAUUUGAGUAAAUAGUUUGUAAAUGAGAUGAACUUGUAAUAGAUGAUGUAGAGAAAGGUAGUUUAUGACUUUUAUUGCACUUACAAGAAUUACAAGCAAAAGUAGAAAUAUCAUUAGAUGAUAAAGAAUGACUCUUAGAGGAAACUAAAUAUUGAAGAACUUUGGAAGAGGGAUGACCAAGUCGAUGAUGCCAAUUUGGAAGUGAAGUCUUAACAUUGGAAAAUACAAUCAAAGGUUUUUUCGUAGUAGGAGAAUUCAACCAUACAUAAAAACCACCACUAUAGAAUAUAGAAUAUAAUUUUAUAUUUAAUUAAUUUUGCAUUUAAAUAAUAUAUGAUAAAGAUAUUACUUUUAUAUUUAAAUAAUAUAAGAUGGUAAUGAGAUAAAAAUGAAUGUUUUUAUGGUUAUAGGAAUAAAGAAAAAUAAAAUAAAAAAGAUUUCAAUUACUUAAUUAAUAGUAAUCCUAAUUUAAUUUCAAUUAAUAUUAAUCUUAUUUAUAUCUUUCCUUUCUUGAAUAUACCAUAAAAAGAUUUAAGUAGUAAAUAAAUACAUGGGUAGAAGGAUACAUCCAGUCAUGAGGUGUACCUAUAUAUUAAUUUUAUAUUUAAAUAUUAUAGAAUAUAAUUUUAUAUUUAAUUAAUUUUGCAUUUAAAUAAUAUAUGAUAAAGAUAUUAGUUUUAUAUUUAAAUAAUAUAAGAUGGUAAUAAGAUAAAAAUGAAUGUUUUAUGGUUAUAGGAAUAAAGAAAAAUAAAAUAAAAAAGAUUUCAAUUACUAAAUCAAUAGUAAUCCUAAUUUAAUUCCAAUUAAUAUUAAUAUUAUUUAUAUCUUUCCUUUCUUGAAUAUACCAUAAAAAGAUUUAAGUAGUAAUCUGGGAUAGAUAUUAAUUUUAUAUUUAAGAAAUAUAGGAUAUAAUGUAGAGAAUAGAGAUACACAAACAUAUUUUAUAUUUAAGUAGUAAUCUUCAUGAGCUUUACACAAACAAAAAACUUAGAUGUUUACAUCAUCUAGAAGCCCCACUUCGCCUCUCUCUCAGCCCUCAGCCCUCAGGCUUAAGAAGUUGUCAUGAGAAACCUAACACAAACCUUUCUUAUAAUUAUUGUUCAUAGUCGUAGCUACCAAGAAUUCCAAGUUAGGAAGAAAAAAAGAAUCAUAAAUACAGCAAAAAUAACUUCCACUACAUGCGGCAGCAGGGGUACCAAAUUAGGGAAAUUAAGAAGUAAACCAUGCCCAAUCAAUUGCUGGGAAAUAUUAUUUGGAUAUCAAAUUAGGGAAGCUAUUAAGUGUGGUUUUUGUAGUGUUAAAUCAGAGAGAAAUUUAAUUAUAUUAUGAAUUUCAAAUUUAAUUAUUCUAAGAACAAUGAAUUACUCUAAUAGAAUUUAAUGUAUAAAAACAUUUCAAACACUCGCAACAUAUAUCAUUUUCAUUUUUUCCAAAAGCACCAAAACCCUAUAACAAUGAAAAUAAACCCAAUAACAAUGGAAAUAAACCAAAUAACAAUGGAAUCUCAAACCUAAUCACAAACAUUUCCAAAAUACCAACUAACAAAACCCAAAAAAAAAAAAAAAUUCCCAAAACUCACCAAAACCUAGAGAGAUGAUUUUCACGGGAGUUUCUUGGAGGUGGCUUCAGCUUUACCGACCAUAGCUUCCAUGGGGCUUCUUCAGCAUGGCUUCCAUAAGCUUUUUUUGACAAUAGCUUCCUCCAAGCAAUGGGGGUUGUGGGUAGGUUUUGUGGGUUUUAUGGCCGUGGGUUUUGGAGAGGAAGAGAAAAUGGGUUGGCAGGAGAGAGAAAGAAAGGCUUUAUAUUCGAUUAGGAAAGUGAUGUGGCCGUGGGGUAUACCCACAUGGUUAAAAGAAAGACAUUUUUCCAUUAGAAAAAAAUGUCUCAUGGCUUUUUUUAUUGUUAUUGUUAUACCCAAAAAAAAUAAUUUAAUUUUAUUGUUAUACCCUAAAAUUUUUUUAUUGUUAUUGUUAUUGUUCUGUGUUCAGAACUAUUAAUUUAAAAAGUUUUUCAAGUUUUAAAAUUAUCAAAUUUUUAAAAUUUACAAUUAUUUUAAAAUUUUAAAUUUACAAUUAUUUUUAAAAUUUUAAAUUUAAAUUAAUUUUGAAAGUUCAAUGUUUUACUCAAAGUGUUAUUCUAAAAUUUUUAUUAAGUUUUAUCAAGUUUUUUAAGUUUUAAAAUUAUCAAGUUUAAAAUUUAAAAAUUUUAUAUAAAUACAAAGAAUAAUUAAAAAUAAAAUAUAACAUAUAAAUGUUAUUUUUUAAAACAUAUUUAAAAACAUAAAAAAUAUAUAUUAAGAAUAUUUUAGGUUUCUAAAUCAACUUUUAUUUUAAAAUACAUCGGCAAAAAAAUUUUUAAAAAUGUUUUAAAAAACCGUUUUUUGUAUAAUUGUUUAUGAAAAUGUCAAAAUACUUCACAAAUAAACCAGUUCGAGUCCCCUCAGGGCCUCGUGGGAUUAGUCGAGAUGUGCUUAAGCUGGUCCGGACAUCCACGGUUAUAAAUAAAAAAUAAAAAUAAAAAAAUAAAAAAUACUUCACAAAUAAAACUAUAAUUUAUUGGUAUUUUUGUGGGCCUUAGGUGUUAGGAAAUGUUAUAUGUGCAUCCUACUCCUACUCUGUCUUCAUUAUUUUCAGUCCCUUUAUAUCUUAUACCAAUCUACUAUUAUUUUAUCAUAUGGUAUCAGUUUUUCAUAUUUGAUGAUAUUAAUUUCUACCUUAUCCCAUAUGCUUGUAGCUUAAUUUCAUUAUACAUUUGGACAACAGAAUUUCAGACUUCCAUUUGGUACUAAAUAUAAUAAACAUAAACAGAGAAUGAUGCAUUUAAGAAUAUUUUUCCAUGAAUUUUAACUUUAUAAAUUUGUUAAUUUUACAAAUUUAAGAAUUAUAAAAGUUUAGAACUUUUAUUUUUAAUCAUAAACAGAGGAUGUUAUUUUUGUAGUUAUAAAUUGUUUUUGUAUUGCAAAAAUCAUAAAGAUUAAAUAAUAUUUUAUGAUUGAAAAUUAAAUAAAACUAUAAACAAUUUUACUAGUAAUUGUUCAUAGUAAAAUUUAGUUAUCAUGACUAUUGAUACUUUAAAUAUAAUAAGAAUUAUUUAUCAUAUAUAAAAUCAAAAUUGUUUUUUAAUUUGCUAACUCACUUGCAUUUAAACUUUUUAUCAAAUAAUAUCAAAUUGAACCAUCAUAUUUUUAAACUAAUUUAUUAAACUUUAUUUUGCUUCUUAUUAAAACAUUAAUUAUAACAAGGAAAUUAAAUAAUUUUAACUAAAGAAAAAUAGGUAACACACUAAUUUGUUUCUUAACUUAAAAAAAAAUAGUAAUAUAACUUUAAACUUUUUAUAAUUAAUAAGAACUAUUAUUAUUACUAUUAAUGAUAAUUUCUAUUUAUGAUAUAUAUAUAUAUAUAUAUAUAAGAUUUUCUAAAAAAUUAUAAUAGGUAACCCAAAAAUUGUUUAAAAUAAAUAAUAGACUUUGGUCACGAUUGUGUGAACCCCGUGGCCAUAGGUUCAAAAUAUUUAAAAAAAACUCUAUGCAUUGGUAAUGGUCAAGCGAAAUUUGUAACUACAGGUUCUUAUACAGUCACGGUCAAUCAAUGGCGUGACUAAAAGUCACGGUCAAUCAAUCACGUCACUCAAAGUCACAAAAUAUCUAUUUAGUGACGGUUUCACAAAAACCUGUGACUAAAACAUCUUUUUCAUUACACUUUUUGUCACGGAUGAUAAAAUAACCGUGACUAAAGUUAUUGGCGCCAAAAUUUCCCUCCAUAAAUUUACAAAUAGUCACAGUUUUAAAUAAAUCCGUGACUAAAAUACCUCUUAUUAAUCCUUUUGGUGACGGUUGAUAAAAUCACCGUGACUAAACAUGUUUUUUUUUUUUUCCAAAUUUGAUUUAACACAUAUAGUCACAACCUUACCCAAUAAUAUCUUUGGUGGGCCGUGACUAAAGAUUCGUCAUUAAAAAUCUAUUUUUUUGUAGUGCUAGUUGGUCCAUGCAAAAUUCUUGCCCCCGUACAUAGACCAUUCACAUAAAAACAAGUGGGUAAGAAUUCAAUGAAAACAUUAUUUGUUAAGCAAAAUUGGGAAAUUGAAAUCAAGUUCUUUUUCAUGGUGAGAACACAAGGGAUAUUAUUAAGUUGAAGUAGCUUUAAUGCAGUUGGGAGGGUGGUGGAUCCUGUGUGUGUGAUUUCUAGACCUUUACCAUCACCAAUAAUUAUGUCGUCUGGGCCAGCAUAGUCGGAAUGCAAAGAUAGAUUCUGAAGAUCAUUAGAUAUGUGGUGUGAGGCACCAAAAUCCAAGACCCAAUUUGGAGAGACAACAGUUGGUUGAGUUGUCGCAUGUGUUUGUGCAGAAGAGGGGCGGUAACUGUAAUUGGGUGGAACACCAUGAUGUUGACUGGCAAUAUAUCGAAAUGAUGGACAUCUUUUCGCUGAGUGUCCUUGAACACCACACAAUUGACAAGUCCCCUUAUAUGGAUGAGGGGUGUGAUUCGAAGUAUUCGAGGUAGUCAUUGGUUGAGGUUGUUUGGAUGUACGGUAUUGAGACGAAGAGUAAGGCUGUUGAUUGAAGAAUCGAUGCGAUUGUGGUUGUUUGGUAGCAGCAUUGGUGGAAGCAGGCAAUGAGACAUUCCAAGAAGAAUACUUGGCAGAUUCUCAUAAAGUUUGAGCCUCAAGAGGAAGCAAUUUCUCAUAAAGUUCCUCAAAGGAAAAACAGUUUCAUGGGCAUGGAUGGUUGAGUGUAAAUCUUUGUACAUCUCAGGCAAACCAUGAAAUAUUUGAAUAAUGAAGUCCUCAGGGUCUAUGGUGACGUUCAUGAGAUAGAGAACAUCAACGCAAAUUUUAACAAAUUGCAUAUACUGUGUUAUGGACUGAGUGCCUUUGGACAAGUUGUCGAGUUGAGUCCGAUAAUGAAUUAUUCGGCUUCGAGAUGCUUUAGCAUAGGUGUUGUGAAGUGUAGACCAAGCCUCAAGGGAGGUUGUGGCUGAUGCAAUGAAUGAGAAAAUUGUUGGACUAAGUGAUGAAACAAUAGCAUUAAGAAGAUGGUCUUGACGAAUCCAAUGGGUGUAAGCUGGGUUUGGGGUUGUAGUACCCUUUUCAGAAGUAAGAGUGCUAGAAGGACAUGGUAAAGUGCCAUUGACAUAUCCCAGUAAAUCAUAACCGACUAGGAGAGUGUAAAAUUGGAGUCUCCAUGCAGAAAAAUUGUGUUGAGUGAGUUUGAUGGGGGUUUGGGAAGAGGCGUUUAUGGCUAUGAGGUUUUGAGUAGUGUAUAUAGAGAUGUUGGCAGCAGUGUCGAUGGAGGAAACAAUUGAGGGGGAAGGGCUAGAGCCUUCGUUGGUUUAUGGGUUUGGUGAGGCAUGAGAAUCAACUAUGUGAGCUAUGGUUGCUCUGAUACCAUAAAGACGAUACAGGCUUUGAGAGUUAAAGAUUGUUCUUUCUAUAGAUCAAGGCAAGAAGUAUAUAUAUAGUAUACAACCUAGCGUUACAGACUUACCAAAUUAACUCCACAAUAAAGGGAACUAUACAUGGUUGGUUACCAAAACAAAUAUAGGAGAUUAGCUGUACAUAUUACUGAAAUAUAGAGACGAUCACGGAGGAUUUGAUAGAGAUUGAAGUUGACUUUCAAACGAACCAUUUUCCUUAUCAGGUACUAAUUCAAAGUUCUUGGGUGGUACUUGAAUUAUAUCCCCAACAUUGAUGAUAUAUGCAUCUAGGGUGGGCUUAACUCGAAUCCAUUCUCCAUCAGUUUUUUGCUUUACUUCCAACCCUCUGACAUCAUCCUGGGCAAGGAUGGUUAAGGCUUCGGCAUCCUUUUGGCAACGAACACCCAGAGCUAGGUGAGGGAUGGGGCAUGGUGGGUAGUGAUUGAGGCGGAUGAAGGUAGUUGAUUCUUCAAAGAAAAGAUUGAAUCUGUUUUCCGGCAAACCUAAGCUCAGAGAGAUGAGUCCCAACAUCUUGAAAGCUAGUUUUUCCAUUUCUCUAGCAUAUUCUUCACAUACCUCCCUGUAUAAAUUGGUUCAAUUAGAACCAAAAAACCAAGUAAAUCAUUGAAGUGACUCUGCCUUAGCUGGUGGAAUUUGUACCUUAAUUCAGGAGAGUACUGAGGCCACUGAUUGAUCAACUCUUUGAGCUCCUUGUCGUCAGGAUCAGGCGAAGCAGGGAUGAAGGCGGGGGAUGACACCACGAAAUCAAAGACUUCCUUCCAGUCCCUAACGUUCUUGGUAUGCUCAGUAUCAAAAUACCACAAAGGAUUCACCCCAUCUCUACUCACCUUCCUCUUCUCCUACAAUGGCAGAGCGAAGAACUUCCUCGCCGCAUCCUCAAUUUUCCGGCGAGACUCCGAGGGCAUCCCAUGGUUGAUGACUUGAAAGAAGCCUCGAUUCUUGGAUGCAUCAGCUAUUUGAGAAACAUGGUUAGAGGCAUUGGCGGAAGAGAGAUCAAUGAGUGGGAUGCCUUCAGCUUCGAUAACAACGAGCUUAGGCCCAUGUUGGGUGUCUUGGAUGAAGGCUGGAUCGACCUCUCCCAUGGCUGUGGUAGUGAUUAGAACCUAGAAAUGGUGGUUAUGCACUGGUAGCUGCAGGUUGAGAUUGUGAAGGGGACUUGGGCCACUUGGCAGGUGAUUUUUGUAGUGUAGUGGGGUUGGUUUGGUUCAUUGAACCUUGACAUAAUGACAUAAAUGGGAUACGUUUUAUAAGUUCAAGGAAUCAUGGUAUUUGGAAAAUAUGAAUGAGUUGAAAAUUUUAAAAAAUAGGUUUAUAGGAGUAUAUUUUAAGGAAAAUAAUUUUCAAAUCAUAUCAUGUAUAGGAUAGUGACUUUGUACAUGUUUGAGGGGAAUCAUGUCAAAGUGCACUAUUUGAAAAACAUGGCUAAAUUGUAAACUUAAAAAAGUGGUUUCAUGGAGAGUACAUUAUGAGAAAAAUAAUUUCCAAAUCAUGUACUAAAAUAAUAACUGUAUCCAUGCUUCCAAAACUACUAUUCAACAUAUUUUCAUCAUGUCACAUUUUCCUAUGACGUCAUUGCCCUCAUUUCUUAGAAGAAAAACCCUUUCUGUUCUACUUUACUUUACACUGUUUGUUCCUAUAACCCUUUCCUUUUUUUAAUUUUAAUUUUUUUAAAAAAAUAUUUCUCAUCUAUUUUCUCGAUUUUUAAAAUUCUAUUUAAUUAAAAAAAUUAGAAUUUUUUUUAAAGUACAAUUCAUUUAUUUAUUUUUUCAUUUUAUUUAAAUGUGAUGUAUAAUUAAUACAUUAACAUAAAUUAGUUUUUAAUAUAAAAAUAUAUUCAUCUAUAAUAAUUAAAAAUCUAAUAAAUAAAUAAAUAAAUAAAUAUUAGUAUUUUAAAUAAUAUUGAUUUCGUAUAUACAAUAUUUUAUUUUGUUUCAUUAUUAUAGAUCUCAUUUUCUAUAUUUUUUAUUUCUAAUUUUUCUUAUAGAAUUUUAAACCUAGAUUUUUUAAAAAUGAAAUUUAAAAAAACACUAGAAAUUAAAGUUUUUGUUUUCUUCAAAAUAAAAACAAAAAAAAAAUAAUAUACAAAAAAAAAAUAUUAGUUUACCUUUAAUUUCAUUCAACAAAAAAUUAGUAAUGAUAAUUUUUUAAGAGUAUUUAAUUUUAAAAGUAAUAUUUGAAGAUAGGUAAAAUAAAAAUUUUAAAAGUGUUUGUAUUAAAAUUUUGAAUAUAAAUUCACAACUCCCAUCAUAAUACAUUGAUAUUUAAAAUAAAAAAAACCCCUAAUGAUUUUUUUUUAUUAUAUUAAACAUGUAAAAAAAGUACAUUUUUGUUUAAUUAAAAAUUUAAACCAUUAAAAUUGUUUUUUUCUUUAAUAAAUAAUGUUUUUAAAGAGUACAUUAUACCUAUUUUUUUGGGCAUGUUAUUUAAUAAUUGCUACCAAAGUCAUAACAAUGACAAUAAAAAACUAAAUAUAAUAGUGCAUAUUUGCUAUCUAUAGUGGUACUUUUAGUUACUAACAUUAUUAUUUUUAAGUAAAAAUAAUGUUAUUAUUUCCUGACAUAUUUGAUGUAGAGGUUGAAGUGAUGACAGUGCUAAAUAAGUUAGUACAUCCUAUUAUCUACAGUGAUAUUUUUAGUUACUAUUAUUAUUAUUUUUAGGUAAAGACAAUGUUACUAUCUCUAGUGAUACAUUUGAUGUAUGGAUUGGAGUGGUGAUAGAUGAUGUAACAACUGUGUAUAUGGGGUCAAUCAAGUGUAAUUGUCCUCUUAUUUGUAUAGAUCGCAACCCACCUCCGACAGUGGUUGAAAAGUAGUCUUGGAAGCAUAUCACCAAAGGGACAUUUUGAAUAAUAAUUUGGGAAAAAGCGUUCAUCAGACAUAGCCUAAAAAGUAUAUCCCAACAUUGCUGUUUAUUUAUCAAGCAAAUUACAUUAUUAUUGUCACACCAAACCUCCAAAUUCAACAUGUACUUAGCCUAUAUACUGGAUGGUGAACGGGCUAAAACAAGCUCUUACUGAUUACAGAUAGAUACUGUCCUACUGACACUUUUACUCUGAUACCUUGAAAUGAGAAAUUUGGAGGUUUUCCACAUCAAGCUUCUUGAAAUUGCUGCGCCUUCUCGCAGAAAAGAACUUUCCCCAGUUGUAUGCUCUGUAAUUUUGCUUUUCCCCCUUCGUCAGCUCCUCCAAGGGCUUCACCCAAACAUGCUGCCCGGGAUUGAAAGAGAACGGAAUCGAAAACCUUUCCCUCUCUGAAUUCACAGUCACCCUGUGCUCCACACUUUCAUAAGUAUCAUUGCUCCAGGCCUGGUUUAAUAUCAGUAUAAUUAGCCAAAUGGGUGUAACUGAGCCAAACAGUACUGAUAAGCAUGUACUUAUAAUUCGAAGUUCUUGGGUGGUACCUGAAUUAUAUCCCCAACAUUGAUGAUAUAAGCAUCUGGGGUGGGCUUAACUCGAAUCCAUUCUCCAUCGGUUUUUCGCUUUACUUCCAACCCUCCGACAUCAUCCUGAGCAAGGAUGGUUAAGGCUCCGCCAUCCUUGUGGCGACCAACGCCCAGAGCUAGGUGAGGGAUGGGGCAAGGUGGGUAGUGUUUGAGGCGGAUGAAGUUCGUUGAUUCUUCAAAGAAAAGAUUGAAUCUGUUUUCCGGCAAACCUAAACUCAACGAGAUGAGUCCCAAUAGCUUGAAAGCUAAUUUUUCCAUUUCUCUAGCAUACUCUUCACAUACCUCCCUAUAUAAAUCAGUUCAAUUAGAACAAAAAAGAUAAGUAAUUCACUGUAGUUAUUGUGCCUUAGCUGGUGAAAUUUGUACCUUAAUUCAGGAGGGUACUGAGGCCACUGAUUGGUCAGCUCUUUGAGCUCCUUGUCGUCAGGAUCAGGCGAAACAGGGAUCACGGUGGGGGUUGACACCACGAAAUCAAAGACUUCCUUCCAGUCCCUAACGUUCUUGGUAAGCUCCGAAUCAAAAUACCCCAAAGGAUUCACCUCAUCUCUACUCACCUUCCUCUUCUCCUCCAAUGGCAGAGCGAAGAAUUUCCUCGCCGCACCCUCAAUUUUCCGGCGAGACUCCGAGGGCACCCCAUGGUUGAUGACUUGAAAGAAGCCCCAAUUCUUGGAUGCGUCAGCUAUUUGAGAAACAUGGUUGGAAGCAUUGGCGGAAGAGAGAUCAAUGAGGGGGAUGCCUUCAGCUUCGAUAACAGCGAGCUUAGGCCUAUGUUGGGUGUCUUGGAUGAAGGCUGGAUCGACCUCUCCCAUGGCUGUGGUAGUGGUUGGAAGUUAGAAAUGGGGGUUAAGCACUGGUGGCAGCAGGUGUAGAUGGUGACGGGAAAUUGGGCCACACGGCAGGUGGUUUUUGUAGUGUGGUGGGGUUGGUUUAGUACAUUGAACCUGGGCAUAAUUUGGGUUACUUUUUAAGGUUUGGUUGAGGGUGUGACCUCAUGGAUUGCGCAUAUAUUAAUGAUAAUUGGUCAAGUGAUACUGCAGUCCCAAAGGGAAUCUCUCUCAAUGAUUUUGCCGACAGCUCCCUCCACAUUAAAAUGUUUCAUCCGUAUUUGAAUUGGAGUCUAAUGCUCUGAUCAAAGAUACCUUUCGCUUAGUCGAUCAGUGUUUGAUUACUAAAUAAGAUGGUGUCACAAAUAUUUUUGAAUUCUAGGUCAAAGUUAACGAGUGCAAAGGUUAUCAAUUUGAUAAGAUAAAUUGUUUAGAAACACUUUUAAAAAUGAUUCUUGAAAAAAUAUUUUUUUAAGUUUAAAAACCAUUUUUAAAUUUAGAAUAAAGGUUUAUUUAAAAACUUAUAUUAUUAUAAACUUAUUUUUUAUAUUUUUAAAAAAUAAUUUUUAUAUAUAAUAUUUUAUUUUCAAUCAUUUUUUACAUUUUUUUUAAAAAGGUAAAACUACUAAAAAAAAUACUUAAAAUAAGUUAUCAACAAAUGUCUUAUUGUCAUGACAAUUUUCAAAAACAUGUUUUAGAAACAAUUGAAAAUCAAAGUAUUUUCAUAUUCCUUUAUUCCCAAAAACAAAAAAUUAUUCUUGGUAACGGUUCCAAAUGUAUCCUUCAUUUGUUUAUCUUAUUAUAUAAGUUUUAAAAUAAAAUACAAAAAAUAAUUUUCAAUGAUAAUUUGUUACGGUUUUAUCCAAAAUUUUUAUAUUUUUAAUCAAUUAAUUUAUUGAUACGUAUAUUUCUCAUGAGACCUUUUUCUCACUAAAAACAUUACUUUUUUAUAAGACAUUUUUAAUAAAUUAAUUUUGAUACGUAGAUUAAAAAUGUCUUAUAACAAUAUAAAUUAAUUAAAUCAUUAGUUGGCCAUUUGGUCUCAUGCUUACACAACGACUUCUCUCAUGGCUGCCUAACAUGAAUGAACAACUCUCUACAACAAGUAAGGUACACUUAAUUAAAAAAUUAUUUAAUUUAAAGAUGUUCGAGAAUGAGAAUUUCAAGUAGCACUUGAAUGAAUUUAAUGAGACCACAAAUUAAUUAAAUUCGAUGGUUAUUAAAUUUGAUGAUAAGAUUCAAGCCUUAUUAAUCCUCGGUUAAUUGCUUGAGAGUUGGAAAGACACAAUCACCUCAAUCAAUAGUUCAUCCAAAAAAUCAAAAUUGGUGUUUUCGAAUGUAGUAGACAUGAUUAUAACCGAGGAGAUCAAGAAGCAUGAAGAAGGUUUUUCAAAUUCAUGAUCAACAUUAAAUAUGGAGAGCAAAGCUAGAAAUCAUAAUAAAGGUAAUAGGCGUGAUAAAUCCAAAUCGAGGAAUGAUAGGUUGAAAUACAAAAAUUCCAUAAAUUCCUAACAUCAGACGAGUAAGAACAAUAUCAAAUGUUGGAAUUGUGAUUGGAGCUAAAAUAUGUGCUCAAAUGACAUAUAUUUGAUAUGAUUUAUAUAUCAUAAGACACUCAAAUCAUCUGACUCUACCCAAAUUGAUACUAAGGUCCUAGCCAUGAGUUUAACUUGUAUUUUGGAGAUUUAUCUCAGGUUUAAGAAAAGAAAAUGGUGUAAGGUGAAUCAAUUUAGAUUUUGAAAGAAUAAGAAGGGGUUAAAUGAGAAAAUGAACAAGUCAAGACUCAUGAAAUAUGAAGAAAGGAAAGACGAGGAUAUCGUGAGUUUGGGAGAUGAGGAAUGACCAUUAUCAUGAAGUAAGAAAUAAGGCAUACAAACAUAGAAAAUGAGGCAUGAAACAAAAUUCAUCAAGUUUGCAUGGAAAUUUGGGACUCAAAAUCUGGUAAUAACAUAUACUCUGACUUUAAAAUGAAAUUUGGAGCAUUUCCCAAAGUCCAUUUUAGGCAAGCUAUAUAUUGUUUUGAAGCAUGGGAAGUUAGGAAUUCAAAGCUUCAAACAAUGUCCAAAUUAGAGCUAAAUAAGGAAGUUAUGCACAUUUAAAGCAAACUAGUUAGAGAGAAAAACUGAGUUCGAAAUUGGUCACUUGGAUUUGAAAUGGUUUUUGUCCAUUUAAAACUCAAAGAAAUGAAAGAAAACUUUUGGCAUUGGCUAAGUUUGAAUCUCUUUACCUAUUUCAAACAAGAGGCAUACAUUUCAAAGUCAAAUGAACAUACAUGGGCAGUGAGUGAGUUCAAAAUUCACUAUGAAUUUUGAACUCACCUUGUUGAUUUCAAAUUGGACCAUUUAUUUCCCACUUAUGAGUUCAAAAUUGAUUUGAACUCACCCAAAUUUCGAACUCAACCAUUAGUGACCGAUUUUAGGCUCUGAGACAUGUCAAAACGAGUUUCAAAUGCCUUUAUCCAAUUCAAAACGCAUCAUACUCAUUUAGAACUCGUAAUUUUUGGGGUUUUUUUUAAAGGUUAUUUAUGACUUUUCGUUACAAUAAGUGGCCAAUGAGAGUGUACCACAUGUUAGGUCAUUGAAGUUACUAUAAAAACUCUUUUAGUUAUAGUGUUUAGGUGAUCUUCCAAGAGUUAGACAUUUCGUGGGGAAGAAUACGAGAACUUUUGGUUUAUUUAUUUUCUUCUUUAUUGAAUGUAUUGUUUUUAGUUUCCUUUAUUUCAAAUUAUGAAUUUUUACUUUAUUAUGGAUUGUGAAUGUGACAUUACCCCCAUGAGAGGAUAAAAAGCUAACUUGGGGCUUAAACAUAAAAACUAACGGUUAGAAAACUUAUAGGGACAUUAGGUAAAUUAUUAUAACAAUAAGAUUAAUUAAUGGUUGAGUUACAAUUUAUUAAUUUUUUAUCCUAUCAUUGUGAGUUAGUUUAGAGAAUAAUAUAGUAGGUGAUUAUUCGAUACUAGUGAUUCUUGGUAACUCUUGAUCAUUAGUAAUCCUGAUUUUUCUUAUAGUUAUCUGCCCCAAAACGAAGUUAGAAGGAGUAGGAAAUGUUAAAAAGCCAAACCUUAAAUUGAUAAUAAUUUCAUUCAUUUGAUGUGUUGACAAAUCAGAGGGUUGGCUGCAUCCAUCAACUCUCUUUGUGUUCGCCGUGAGCACUUGGGUGAAUGCACUAUAAGGUUAGAGUAUGCACAUUUCUUAACAGCAAUUGCUUUUAGGAGAAUUGGUAGUGCCUGAGGUCCUACAUGAUAGUUUUAAGAACUUGUUUUAAAAAGAAAAAUUAAGUUUUAGAUGUACUUUUGAGUUAUAGGGCUCAAGUUGAUUGCAAGCGGCCAAGAAUCCCAAAACCCUAAGAUCACUCUAGUUAAGAAACCUUUGUUAUCUCUAUUUCUAUACCUUAAGUUAUAUUGUGGAAAACCUCAAACUUAAAUCAAUUAAAUUAAAAAUCAAUAUUCGUUUUGUUAUUAAUUUAGUUUUUUUUUUUUUUUACUUAGUUUCACUUCAUAAAAGUUAAUUCACAUAUUGUUUUUCGCUUUAGGAUUUAAAUAAAAACAAUUCAUUUAUCCUAGUAUUGAAAAAUUCCAUAUGUUAGUCCCUAAGGAUGAUACCCAAAGAAUUACAAAAACCAUAGUGACUAUUUCUCUAGUUUUUUCUUAACCAAAGUUACUAUGUAAAAAGGCUUAGUAUUUUACAUAAGAGAGAAGAUUGAUCAAAUUGUGGAAAGAAGAGACAUUAUAAAAAUGAGUGUAAGGCUGCCAAGAAGGAUAAGGAUGGUGACAACAAGACCAAUGCAAAUGUUGUGUCAAAAGAAUUAGAUGAUGCUCUUAUCUGCUAUUUAGAGAGAACAACAUAAUCGUGGGUAUUAGAUUCAGGGGCAUCGUUCCAUGCUACCUCAAGUGGAGAAUUAUUUGAGAAUUAUGUCUCAGGUAAUCUAGGGAAGAAGUAUCUAGGUGAUGACCAAGCAUGUGUUGUUAUUGGCAUAAGUGAAGUGCAUAUCAAAUAUUUGAAUGGAUUUGUAUGGAAUUUGGACAAUGUGAGGCACAUUUCAAACCUGAGAGAUAAUUUUAUUUCCAUUGGGUAGUUAACAAAAGAUAGUUAUGUGACAACUUUUUUAGGUGACACAUGGAAUAUCUCAAAGGGAGCUAUUUGCCAUGGCAAGAAGAAUGAUACUCUUUACAUGACAAUGAAUGGUUGUGGGUUUAUUACAAUUGUUGAGAGCAAAGAAGAUUCGAAUUUAUGGCAUUAAAGGCUUGGUCACAUGAGCAAUGAGGGGUUGGAAAUUAUACACUCAAAUGGGAAGUUGUCAAGUUUGAAAUAAGUUGACAUUGACAUGUGUGAAAAUUGCAUACUUGGGAAACAAAGAAGGGUUAGCUUUAAGAAAGUUGGAAAAACUCCAAAAGAAGUAAAACUGAAGUUAGUUUAUACAAAUGUUUGGGGACUUGCUUCAAUUUCAUCUAUCGGUAGAAGAUUUUUUUUUGUGACCUUCAUUGAUGAUCAUUUGAGGAAAGUGUGGGUAUACUUUAUGAUACACAAAUGAGAAGUGUUUGAUGUAUUCAAGAGACGGAAAACAAUGGUGGAGAAUAAGACAUGUAUGAGAGUCAAGAAGUUACGGUUUGAUAAUGGUAGGGAGGAUGAAGAAUUUGAGUUCAAGAAGAUCUAUUAUGAAAAUGGAAUUAAAUUAGAGAAGACCGUGCCAAGGACACCUUACCAGAAUGGUAUAGCAUAAUGAAUGAACAAGACAUUGACUGAAAGAGAAAAAAAACGUGUAUACAAGCAAGGUUGUCAAAGGAGUUCUUGGCAAAAGCAAUCAACAAAACAACUUACUUGAUCACAAAAUACUGGAAAAAGUGUGAACUAAAAAAAAGGUAAAGUUUUCUCAUUUGAGGGUAUUUGGUUGUGUAUCAUAUAUAUAUAUAUAUAUGUGUGUGUGUGUGUGUGUGUGUGUGUGUGUGUGUGUGUGUGUGUGUGUAUACAUAUUAGUGAUCAUGACAUAAACAUACUUGAUGCUAAAUCACUAAAAUGUACUUUCUUAGCUAUGGUGUUGAUAAUUUUGGUUAUUAGUUUUGGGAUGACCAGAGUAAGAAAGUGAUUAGAAGUAAGGAUGUCGAUUAGAAGUAAGGAUGUCAUAUUUAAUGAGAAAGUUUUGUAUAUGUAGAGAGAUGCAACACAUUCCAAUAGUCUGGUACAACUUGAACCUAUUUACUUUGAGCCAAAUGAUGUCCCAUUGAAUAACAUGACAAAUAAGACAGGUCAUAAUCAUUAGAUUGAGGAAAAUACUGCAUAAGAUGUUAAUAUAUCACAAGAUCUAGUUUCAAUUCCUACUUUGAGGAGAUCUAACAAGCCACAUGUACCAAAUAGGAAGUAUUUAAAUUAUUUGCUACUAAUAGAUGGAGGUGAACCUAAAUGUUAUGAUGAGGCAUGUCAGAUGGAAGAUAAUAGAAAGUGGGAGCUUACGAUGAAAAAUGAAAUGAAGUCCCUUAUUCUUAACCAGACUUGGAAGCUAGUCGAGUUACCAAUGGGUAAGAAAGUUUUUCAUAAUAAGUGGGUGUAUUAAAUUAAGUAGGAGCAUGGUGGUUCUAAGAGAUAUAAGGCUAGAUUGGUGGUCAAAGGGUUUCAAUAGAAGAAAAAUGAUUGACUAUACAUACAUUUUCUCUCUAGUUGUGAAACUAACUAUUAUUCAAUAUGUUUUGAGUAUUGUAGCAAUAAAGAGUUUACAUAUAGAACGGUUAGAUGUGAAGAUAGCUUUCCUCUAUGGUGAUUUUGAUGGGGAAAUUAGUAUAUAUGCAACAACUAGAGGGUUUUGUAGUGAAGGGUAAAGAGAAUCUGGUGUGCAAAUUAACUAACAGUCUGUAUGAUUUAAAACAAGCCCCAAGACAAUGGUAUAGAAUAUUUGGUAGUUUCAUGCAAAAGAAUAGGCAUCUCAAGUGCAAUGCAGACCAUUGUUGUUACUUUAAGAGAGUUGGUUCUAUCUAUAUUAUUUUGUUACUUUAUGUUGAUGGCAUGUUAGUAGUUGACGCAAAUCUAGAUGAAAUUAACAAGUUGAAGAAAUAGUUGUCUAGUGAAUUUGAAAUGAAGGACUUGGGAGCAACAAAGUAGGUACUUGGGAUGAAGAUUAGCAAAGACAAAUAAACGAGCAUCUUAUGGUUAUCUUAGGCUAAGUAUAUAUACUCAUAAAGUAUUGCAAAUAUUCGACAUGAGUAAUGUAAGGCAAUUAGAACAUCAUUAGCAAAUCAUUUCAGGUUGUCUAAUUAAGCAUUGCCCAUGGGCAGAUGAGGAAAAAGACUUCAUGGCUAAGGUUUCAUAUGCCUUAGCCAUUGGAAGUUUGAUGUAUGUUAUGAUAUGCACGACACUAGACAUUGCCUAUGCAGUGGAAGUUGUGAGCAAAUUUAUGUCAAAUCUAAGUAAGUAGCAUUAUGAAGUAGUGAAAUGGAUGCUUAGGUACUUACAGGGUACUACAAAAAAAUGUCUAUGUUUCGAAAGGGGUGAGUUAAAAUUGCAAGGAUAUGUGGAUGUUGAUUUUGCCAAUGAGAUAGAUAAUUGGAAAAGUACUACAUGGUAUGUGCUCACUUUGGGUACUAUUGCUAUUAGUUUGAUUUCUCAAUUGUAGAAGAUUGUUAUUUUAUCUACAAUUGAAGUAAAAUAUGUGGCUAUCACAGAAGCUAGAAAAGAAAUGAUUUGGCUAUAGAGUUUGUUAGCAAAGUUAGGAUUCAAAUAAGAUAUGAAUGUUUUGCAUAGUAAUGGCCAAAGUGCAAUACAUUUGGCUAAGUAUUCAACAUUUCAUUCAAGAACUAAUUAUAUUACACUUCAUUAUCACUCCAUCAGGUUUUUGCUUGAAGAUAGGGUGUUAACAUUUGUGAAGAUACAAGGUAGCAAGAAUCCGGUUAACAUGUUAACUAAAAUAGUGAUAAUAGAAAAAUUGGAGUUGUGUGCAACUUCAAUUGGUCAAUAAUGAGAAUAGGUUGUUUGAGUGCACCCUCAUACCCAUUAAUCAUUGAAAGAGAAUGUUUACUUGUGUUUUAGUCUUCAAGUGGAAGAUUGUUGGAUUGUGAAGCUUGAAUCAGUUUUAUUAUGCCCCGAUCAACUUGUAGGGAUUGAAGGGCGCAAUGCUCUAUGGAGAAUUUAUUUAUUUAUUUUUAUGUAAUGAUUGACAGGUUUAAUCUUAUUAUAUAUUUUAACCCUUUUAUGUUUUAAGGUUUUGUUUUUUAAUGUGUAGUUGCAAUUGAGAGGUUUUUUGAGAGCUUUGCUAUUCCACUCCUUCUCAUCCCUUUUAUAGUGAAUUGUUGUAUGUUGGUGUACUCCAUUGAUGUAGGGAUCAAAUUGAUCGUAAAACCAUUUUUUUUUUUUUUUUGUUUCUAUUUAUACAUGAGUGUGUGCGUGAUUUGGUUAACAUCAGUUAUCUUAAUAAUUCUAUUCCUGGAAUAGGAAGAAAAUGAUGAUUCCAUUAAUGUAGCAUGCAUUGCUGCUUAUUUAUCAAGCAAAUUACAUUAUUAUUACACCAAACCUCCAAAUUCACCACGUACGUAUCGUAUAUACCGCAUGAUAAGAUUUAGAGAGGUAAAACAAGCGCUUAUUGUUUACGGAUAGAUAAUGUCCCACCGACCUUUUACUCUGAUACCUUGAAAUGAGAAAUUUGGAGGUUUUCCACACCAAGCUUCUUGAGAUUACCGCGCUUUCUCGUAGCGAAGAACUUUCCCCAGUUGUAUGCUCUAUACUUUGGUUUUUCCCCCUUCGUCAGCUCCUCCAAGGGCUGCACCCAAAGAUGGUGCGCGGGAUUGAAAAAGAACGGAAUCGAGAACCUUUCCCUCUCUGAAUUCAGUAUCACUCUGUGCUCCACACUCUCAUAAGUUUCGUUGCUCCAAACCUGGUUUAAUAUCAGUAUAAUUAGCCAAAUAGGUGCAAAAUUCGGUGAGCGAAAUAACUGAUAAGCAGGUGCUUAUAAUUCAAAGUUCUUGGGUGGUACCUGAAUUAUAUCCCCAACAUUGAUGAUUUAAGCAUCUGGGGUGGGCUUCACUCGAACCCAUUCUCCGUCGGUUUUUCGCUUUACUUCCAACCCUCCGACAUCAUCCUGGGCAAGGAUGGUUAAGGCUCCGGCAUCCUUGUGGUGACCAACGCCCAGAGCUAGGUGAGGGACAGGGCAAGGUGGGUAGUGAUUGAAGCGGACGAAGCUCGUUGAUUCUUCAAAGAAAAGAUUGAAUCUGUUUUCUGGCAAACCUAAGCUCAGAGAGAUGAGUCCCAUCAGCUUGAAAGCUAGUUUUUCCGUUUCUCUCGCAUAUUCUUCACAGACCUCCCUGUAUAAAUCAGUUCAAUUAGAACAAAACAAACUAAGUAAUUUACUGUAGUGACUGUGCCUUAGCUGGUGAAAUUUGUACCUUAAUUCAGGAGGGUACUGAGGCCACCGAUUGGUCAGCUCUAUGAGCUCCUUGUCCUCAGGAUCAUCCGAAGCAGGGCCGAAGGCGGGGGUUCUCACCACGAAAUCAAAGACUUCUUUCCAGUCCCUAACGUUCUUGGUAUGCUCAGUAUCAAAGUACCCAAAAGGAUUCACCUCAUCUCUACUCACCUUCCUCUUCUCCUCCACUGGCAGAGCGAAGAACGUCCUCGCGGCAUCCCAAAUUUUCCGGCGAGACUCCAAGGGCACCCCAUGGUUGAUGACUUGAAAAAAGCCCCAGUUCUUGCAUGCAUCAGCUAUUUGAGAAACAUGAUUGGAAGCAUUGGCGGAAGAGAGAUCAAUGAGGGGGAUGCCUUCAGCUUCGAUAACAGCGAGCUUAGGCCUAUGUUGGGCGUCUUGGAUGAAGGCUGGAUUGACCUCUCCCAUGGCUGUGGUAGUGAUUAGAACUUAGAAAUGGCAAUUAUGCUCUGGUAGCUGCAGGUGAAGAUGGUUACAGGACUUGGGCAACUCGGCAGGUGGUUUUUAUAGCAUAAUAGGGGUGUUGGUUUAAUACCUUGAACCUGGACAUAAUAUGGGUUACGUGUUAAGUUUUAGUUCGGGGUGUGAGCUCAUGGGUUGCGCAUAUGUUAAUGAGAUUUGGUCAAGUGAUACCUAGCUAUUUCCACGGCACCCUCAAUAUUCAAAUAUUUCAUCCGUACUCGAUUUGGAAGGUUGAUUAGUAAAUCUGAUGGUGUAAUGUCUAUUUUUGAAUUCAAUGCUAUAUAUUUAACGGUGAAGAUAAGAAAAAUAGAAGAGUUGAUAACGUUGAAGAAAAAAUGCCAAAGUUUUAAGAAGGUAGAGUUUUGAUGAGAAAUAGGUAAAAUUAAAAUUGCAUUAUAAUAAUAUAAAUUAAUUAAAUCGGUAAUCACCCAUUUAAUCUCAUUCUUAUCCACAAUUGUUGAUAGUUGAUCCUACAAAAUUCUAAAAAAAUCUUCCACAAAGACAAAUCACAAGAUGUUCAAUAACAUAUAUGCUUUUGCACCAAAAAUUGUAUAAGGGAAAAAAAAAUGAUGCACAAAAAAAAAAAAAAAAAAAUUCUAUAUCUAAUAUUAUUUCAUAGGAAAACUAACUAUAAUAAAUUUUAAAAGCAAAGAGCGUUUUACCAUAUCUAAAUAAUAGAUUAUUAAAUUCUUUAUUUUUCAAUUGGAUAUUUUUUUUUAAAUUAGAAACAUCUAUAUAAAAAUAAAAAUCACUUUAAAAAAAUUUUAAAUUUAAGAUAAUAAAUUUUUUAUAAUAUUUUAAUUCUUUUAAAUAAUUUUUAAAAUUAUUAUUUUUUCAAUAUAAAAUUUUAAGAGUUUUUGUAUUUUAUAUAUAAGUUACUAAUAUUCUCUUAUUUUAAACAUAGAAAAUAAAAAAUGUAACCAAAUGAAUUAGAAAAUAAAAAAGUUGAAUAAAAAUAGUCUAACCAUCUUAAACCUAAUAAUGUUUGACAGAAAACACUUAAAUAUACCUUGUAAUUUUCCUCACUGGUCAGCUCCUCCGAAGGCUUCACAUUCACAUGGUGCGCCAGUAAGAAGAAGAAUGGAAUCGAAACCCUUUCCUUCUUGUGUCGACCCACACUGAGAGCGAGCUCCAGCCACGAGCACGAUGGAUGGUGAUUGAGUCGGAUGAAGCAUUAGCCUUCAAAGAAUUCAUUCAACCGAUCCCCCACCAAGCCUAAGCUUAAGGAGAUGAGUUCCAAGAACUUGUAAGCUAAUUUUUCUAUUUCUCUAAUAUAGUUUUUCCAAAUUUUCCUGAAAAUAAAUCAUUAUAUAAAAUAUAUCAAUACUCAAAAUAAAUUUAAUAAAAUCUUGUCUUGCCUUUAUGUCUCUAGUUGAGUCUGUUUGGCUUCAAGCUGUGCAUUUAUGUCUCCGGUUGAGUUUGUUAGGCUUUGAGUCGCACCUUUACACCUCUAGUUGAAUAUGUUCGACUUUGAGCCAUGCCUUUACGUUUUGAGUUGAGUCUAUUCGGCUUUGAGCCACGCCUUUACAUUUUAGUUGAAUCUGUUCGAUUUCAAGCCGUGCAUUUACAUCUAUAAUUGAGUCUAUUCAGCUUCAAAUUGCAUCUUCACAUUUUUUGUUGAAUCUGUUCAGCUUCAAGCCACUCCUUUAUGUCUCUAAUUAAAUUUGUUUGGCUUUAAGUUUCACCUUUAUGCCUUUAAUUGAGUUUGUUCGGCUUUUAGUUGCGCUUUUACGUUUUGAGUUGAGACUAUUUGGCAUCGAGUUGCAACUUUAUGUUUCAAGUUGAAUUUGUUUAGCUUCAAAUCGUGCCUUUACAUCUCUAGUUGAGUUUGUUCGACUUCAAGUCAUGCCUUUAAGUCUCUAGUUGAGUUUUUUUAGCUUUGAGCUGCGCCUCUACAUCUCUAGUUGAAUUUGUUUGGCUUCGUAUCACAUCUUAUGUUUCGAAUUGAGUUUAUUCGACUUCGAGUUGUGCCUUUAUGUUUCUAGUUGAGUCUAUUCAGCUUCAAGCUGCACCUUUACUUUUUGAAUUGAGUUUGUUCGGCUAUGAGCAAUGCUUUUACAUUUCAAGUUAAGUCUGUUUGGCUUUGAGUUAAGCCUUUACGUCUCUAGUUAAGUCUAUUCAACUUCGAGCCGCAUCUUUCAUUUUUGAGUUGAGUGUGUUUGGCUUUGAACCACACCUCUAUGUUUCAAAUUAAGUCUAUUCAUCUUCAAGUCGCACUUUUAUGUCUUUAGUUAAGUUUGUUCAGCUUCGAGCAAUGCCUUUAGGUUUGAAGUUGAGCCUAUUUGACUUCAAGCCACACCUUUACAUCUCUAGUAGAGUUUGUUUGGCUUCAAGCUAUGCCUUUUUGUUUCGAGUUUAGUCUGUUCAGUUUUGAGCCAUGCCCUUACGUUUCAAGUUAAGCCUAUCCGGCUUCAAGUCGCGUCUUUACAUUUUGAGUUAAGACUAUUCGACUUCAAGCUAUGUCUUUACAUCUUUAGUUGAGUUUGUUCAACUUCAAGCUACGCCUUUACGUUUUGAGUUAAGUCUAUUCGGUUUCAAGUUGUGUCUUUAUGUUUUGAGUUGAGUCUGUUUGGCUUUAAGUCACACUUUUACGUUUUGAGUUGAGUCUCUUCAACUUUGAACUACACCUUUAUAUAUCCAGUUGAGUCUGUUCGAAUUUGAGUCACACCUUUGAGUUUUGAGUUUAGUCUGUUCGGCUUUGAGCCACACUUUUACAUCUCUUGUUGAGUCAUAUUUAGCUUCAUUCUACGCCUUUACAUUUCCAAUUGAGUUUAUUUAGCUUUGAGUUGUGCCUAUGUUUUAAAGUUUGUUCAAUUUCGAGCCACAUCUUUAGCCUUAUUAAGUUUGUUCAAGUUUAGUUGUGCCCUCACCCAUAUCCUUAGUUUUAAGUUUAUUCAGCUUCAAGCCAUGCGUUUGUCCUUGUUAAGUAAGUUCGGCUUCGAGCCACGUCUUAGUUUUGAAGUUGUUUAUCCUUGAGCCACACCUUCCUUUCUUUUUUAGUUCACUUAGGGUUUUCUCCUUCCUCGAGUUUAUUAGUGCAUUCGAGUUCAUUUUUCUUUAAGUUGAUCACUCUUUAUCUUUGUUGUCCUUGAAUUGUUCAUUGUGUCACAAUUCAGUGUUUUUCAUUGCAUAUAUACUCCCCACAUUGUCUAUAUUUUAUCCUGAUGAGUUUCUUUCCCAAUACGUGACCUCGAUCUUUGAGUUUAGCAUGCCAUGUGCUAAGACAAUUUCGAGUGCUCUUUUGUUCUUCAAUGCAAUUCACUUCAUACCAUUCAUCACUCAUGUUUCACUGUUUGUGUUCAUUUCAUUCGUGAUCUACAUCGGAGAGAGACAUAUUUGUUGGCCCUUUACUUUGUCCUAUAAUACAUAUUUUCACAUUUUUUUAUUUUCCUCUUGCCCCAUACUCAUUUUUGGUGCUCGUUUUGGAUCCUUCUUGUUUGAUCAUUCAUGGUCCCUUAUUGGUCCACGUUUACUUGACUCAUUAUUCAUUUUUUAGUCGCAUUUUAGAGGCCAUGUAGGAGGAAUUUUGAGUACAUGCAAGCUUAUUUUUUAGAGACCCUUAGUAGUUGGCUCAUAUGAGGACACGCCUCCUCACACUACUACAAAAAUCAUUUAUGGUGUCACUAUUUAUAGUGACACUUUUAAAAUAAUGACACCAUAUAGCUUAAAAUCCACAAAGGUGACACAUCAUAUAAAAAUUUUCAAUUAGGAUCAAUGAUAUUAAUUUUAGGUUUAUAAUGUCAGUUGCCAAAAAAUGACACCAUAUAAAAUAUUUUUUUUCUAAAUAUUAUAACUCAAUUGGCCCACUUUGAGAAUAAUGAUAGUAUAUAAAAAAAUCAUUGUUUCCACAUACCCACAAUCCAAAAAAAUUUCAUUCCAUAACCCUAACCAAAAUUUUUUUCUACCUCUUCUCACACCCAUAGUUAACACACAACUGUUCUUCUCUGCUUUGUGGACUCUCAGGUAACCCAAAAUCUCUUAGAUCUAUCAUUUUCAUUUAUUUUUUUAUUAAUGUCAAAAUCUUUAUGAACACAAUUGAUUUAUGUUUAUUGAUUUAAUAUAUUUGUAAUAUGGAUUGUGUAAAUAGUGUUUUUUUAUUGAGUUGUAGGAAAGUAAAAACUAGGUUUAACAUUCCACCAUAUCUUCUGGUUCAUUGUUAAACCCAUAAACCCCAAAAUGAAUGAAAAUAAGAAAAAUGAAUUAUUUUUAAAUAUCUUUUAUACUCAAGAUAAUAUAUAAACAUUUUACAAUACAAAAUUUUUUUUUGAUCUUGUAGGAAAUUUCCUUUGAUAGGAUUUUCUGUUUGUUUUCAAGGAAUAUUGUAGUAUAUUGUGAUGAAGAUAUUGAUUGGUGUUAUUUGAAAAAUAAUUUUUUAGAAAAUUAUUCUCAAUAUUAUCAUCUCCCACAAAAUGAAAAAUGAAAUAGUUUUCAUAUCAUAUUGGAGUCGGUUUGGAAUGUUGGAAUUAACAAUGAGAAAUUAAUUUUAUUUUUUAUUUAUUAAUGUAAAUGAAUUGUUUUUUUUUUAAAUUUAAAUAGGAAUGAAAAUUUUUAUAAUUAUAAAAAUGAUCAAAUAUUAUAUUUUGAUUUUUUUUUCUAUUCUUUUACAUGGUAUUAUGGUUAAUAUCUCAUCUUGUUCUAUAUAUAUUUUUUAUAUUCUUAAAAUAUGUUUUUUGCUUUUUGUUUUUACUUUCUUUUCUUAUUGUUUUUAUAUGUGUUGACCAAAAUUUAGAGUAAUUUGAGAUUGGCGAUAAAAUUUUCCUUUCAAGGUUAGAAAAUUUCUAUAAAAUCAUUUUAUUACAUAAUUUUUUCAAUUCCUUCCAUAAAACUCUUCCUUUUUCCUUUUUUAAGAAGAUGUUUGAUAAUUUUCUUUUGAUUUCUAUGAAAUUUCCUUUUAUUGGACUGUUUGUUUAUUUUCUAAGAAUAUUAUAGUAUGUUAUGAUGAGGAUAUUGGUUGGUGAUAUUUGAAAAUUAAUUUUUGAGAAAAUUAUUCUCAAUAUUGUCAUCUGCCACAAAAGGAUUUUAAAAGUAUGUUUUAUUUUUGCCUUCUUUUCUUAUUGUUUUUAUAUGCAUUGACCAAACUUUGGAGUAAUUUGAGAUUGAUGAUGAAAUUUUCCUUUCAAGGCUAGGAAAUUUCUAUAAAAUCCUUUUAUUACAAUUUUUUUUUUUUUCCUAUUCCUUCCAUAAAACUCUUCCUUUUCUUCAUUUUUCUUUUUUGAUGUUUGAUAAUUUAUUGAUCUAAAGAAUAUUAAAAGUAAAAAAUUUAAAAUAUUGAAUAUUUUUUCCUUUGAUGUUGUUAUUUUAUUAUUAUUUUUAUUUGAACAUAUUUUUCAUAUCCAAAUUUUCUAUUAAUUAUUUUACUUUUAAAAAAAAUAUCAAUUGAAGUUAUGACUGAAAAAUCAAUAAUUUUUAUGAAAGGUUCUUUAAUUCUUUCUCAUACUAAUUUUUCUCUUAACAUUUCUUAAUAGUGAAUUAGGUUUUUUUGUUUUAUAUACACAAUUUUCAUGCUUGUUAUAAUAUCAUGUCCUAUCAUAUUAGUAGUUGAAAACAUUUUUAUAUUUUGUUACUAAAAUUUUAUUUUAUAUAAUUUACAUGAAUUUUAAUGGACAUUGUUAUUUCACAAAAUGAACAUUAAAAAAAAUAUUGAAAUUAAGAAAAUCCUUCCAAGAAAUAAAAAAAUAUAAAAAGAAUUGGAUGUUAAAAAUGAUUUUUAAAAGCAUUAUGAAUUAUAAAAAAUAAAUUUAAAAGAUUAGUAUUUUCUAAAAUUUUAGAUUUAUAUUUUGAUUUUGUAGUUUUGAUUUAUUUCAUAUUUUCUUGAAUUGUUUUUAUUUGAGUUCAAAUGUGACUACUUUGUUAUGAGAUUCAUUAAAAGGAUAAUUGUUGAUUCUACAGUUAUUGCAUUAAAGGUUUUACUCAUUUAAUGAAUUGUACAUAGUUUCAUACUUCUAAUUAUUGUGAUAUUAAUGUUAUUUUCAUUUGAUUUUAGUUUGAUGACAAAAAACAUAUUCUCAAGUAGACUUUGAUGAAAUAAGAGGAGAAUGGAUUGCUUUUGUGUUAUAACUAAUCAUGAAUCAUGUUGAUGUAUCGUGAUCAUGCAUGGUGAGUCCCUUAGUUGUUAUAUAAAUUUUCCAUUGGUAUUGUAUAACAUUACUUAUUCUUUAUGAACUAUUUUUAUAUCAAAAUAGGAAAAAGAAAAAAGGAAACAUUAGUACUUAGAUUUGUUUAUUUUUUUAUAACAUCACUAUGGACCCCGCAUUUUCGGCUCGAUGCGUUUCCCACUCGAUGGCGAGCUCGAUUUUUAAUUUUGAAAAAUGAUUUUUAUUCAUUAAAAAUGACUUGGAGUCGCCACUUAUUUUUGUUUUAUUUUUAAAGGGUAAACAAAAUAAGAAAAAAAAACCCUAAGUGUGACUCCUUAUUUUAGAAAAGGCGAUCUACGAAAAAACCGGAUUGGGCUCGGGGGUUAGGUUACUUAUCGGGAAGGUACGGUAAAGACCGUAGCACCCCUCUAAGUCCCUAAAAUCGGGUCUUUACUAAUAGAAUGAAGCUGACGUGGCAGUCAACAAGAAAAUCGAUGAAUAGUCAAAUCAAUCAUGCACAAUAUGAGAAGCAAAACAUGUAUAAAGAAUGAGCGAAAUAUGAAUAGAUGCGUACCUGGACGGCAAUCACGAACGCGCUAUCAUGAAACAUGGUUAGUGAACAAUGAACAGAUAUAAUUAAGCGCAUAUCAAGGAAUAGAGUAAAUCAAUCAUGCAUAGCAAAUAAAUAAAUCAAUUAGUUAAUCGAUUAUAAAUCACAUAUGUGGGGCCCCACCAAAGUCCAUUUAUUUUGCAUGAUUUAAUUCCAAUAACUCCAUUACUUGGAAUUACGGAAAUGAAUUCUUGCUUAUUUUAAAACGUUUUAAAACGAAGGAGAUGUGGAAAUUAUUUGCUAGAAGGAAAGAUGACAACAAAAUUUUAUUGGAAAUGAGAUUUUUGAGUGAUCCUAAAAAUUCUAAAGAUGAAAAUUUGAAAAAUAAAUAAAUAAAUAAGAAUAAAAUAAAAUUAUUUGAAAAUCUAGAAAUUGGAAACUAUUUGAAAACGGGAAAUUUGGAAAUUAAUUUAAAAUUGAAGAUAAAGAAAUAAAUAGAUAAAUAAAAAAAUAAAUAAAGGACACGUGACUCAAAAUGUGGUCAUGCAUAGUUGCUUGUAAAUUGGACAGCCAGUUGCUUCUCAUACUCUCAGCGUCAAGAUGUUCCUUGAUGUAGUUGCCCCAUGUGUCAUCCUUAGCCGUGAUAAUGCAUGUGUUUUCAUCCCAAUUAAAGUCACUUUGAUCAAGAAGUGCCUUGAUAGUGACAUAUUGCAUCCUCAAGACAUCAUACCGAUUCCUCAGUUGGUCCUUAUCCAUGGAUUCCCGCGAAAUAAAUCUGUUACCAGAACAUUGUAACCAUUGCAUGCAACGCGAUAUGCGGAGUCCCUUGUGGAUGAAUUUUCGAAGCCAAAGGCAUCAAACAAGAGCAGUAUCCCUGCCAACUGCGUGUUCAUCCAGCCGCUCAAUCACGCCACUAACAUGGGCACAGCGGAAAGCAUCAACACAACCUUAAUUCCUCUCUUGUAGCUGUUUAGCAGAUCCAAGUCUGUACAAGACUUGAUCUAUGGCAACGUCAUGAGGAUAUAGCCGCGGGGUAGCAUAUGAAUCCAAUCAAUGGGAAAUGGGCAUUAGGAAUGGUGGUCAGGCUUUGCAUGAUUUCAUACACGUGAAUGAGUGAUGCUGGGACCUUCAUGGAGGCUUUGAGUGGAUCUUUGGGCGGCGGUGUAGAAAGAGAAAGGUAGCAGGAAGAAAAGAAUGGGUGUGGGCUUGGUGGUAUGAAACGUGUGGUGUUAAAGAGGAAUGUGGCGUACAUGAGGAAAGACAUGGUGAGUGGAAUGAGCUAUGGGCAUGAGAGAAAUAGAGAAAAUGGGUAUGAAGGUUAAUGAGAGAGAACGGGCGUGUGAGGGUGGUAAAGGAAAAUGGAUGAUGGAUGCACAUAGGUGGAAAUGGGAAUGGAUUUGAUAAAGCAUGAAGGUAGGAAUGGGAUUCGGGUGAUAUUAGAUUACCAUGCAUGGAGAAUGUAUACGUGGAGGUCUAUUAUGCAAAGGAACUAAAAACGGGUCAAGUGAAGGGCUGUUUAGGGAAUAUGGCAUCAGUUUCAGGUUGAGGGGAUGGGGCCCUUGGGCCAUUUGGCUACCCACAAGUAUGAUCUACAAAAUAGGGUCCUUAUGUCAGGGUCAACUUUCGGAUUUUUGCAAAGCUGAUGCUACCAAUUUAAACUCUGAUCAAUCAGUGUCCGCGAUCUUGAGUCCUUCAAGCUGAUGCAACGCGUCUUUAGGAAGGUAGAGCCUCCAAUGAAUACUUUAGAUUUCGAUUUUUGAACAAUCAUGGCAGAACCCUUCAUCGAUUGGCAUUAUCAUUACCCUGGGAUUGCAGCAAGAUGCAUGGAAGGCUUCUUCACUAUUAUCACAAAUGAGCAUAUACAAUAUAUUUUCUGAAUGACCACACGAUUUACAUGGUUGGGAUGAGUUGCUAUUCCCACUAACUCCCAGAACUUCAAGAAGCUCCUGACUCCUCAGUAUAGAAAUGCGUGUAAUCAUUACCCUCUUGUUUGGCAUGACCUGUGCAUACCCAAGAAUGACACCUACUAACCAACCAAUUGAUCCUUAUUGCAUUUAGAACUCAUCUGCAUCCCCUAGUCAAUUUCAGUUUCUGACAGUUAAACCAAAAAUCCCCAGUCUCAGCAAUGACAGUAGUCUCACUUGACAACAUUUUCUGUAUAUGCUGGAACAGAACAUAAACCCUCAAAGGCUCCUCGGGAUCAGACGUAGGAGACUGUCCCUCAGGAACGUAAACUCUAUGGUAGAACUCAUAGGCAGUGAUAUUGCAUUCGAGCCUCUUGGAGAAUGACUUGAAGAAAUCUUUCAUCAAAAUGCACCCAAGCUCAAGCCCAUAAGCACACCAAACACCAUUAUUGGGUUCGUUACAUCACCAUGCUACGGAGUUUAUACAACAGGAAGCUCUAACUGAUGAUGGUUCUGGUAGUGAUUUGCCAAUGGGAACUUGGCCAUCAAGUGAACCCGAUAUCAGAAGCUGAAGUUAUUACCUUGUACUCUUCUAUUCCCCCAUUAUCAGCAAUUCCAAUGGAAACAGUAGGAGAGCCUCAAGACUGUGUAUCCAUUCAAUAACUCUGUUUCUCAGUCAGGAUGCAAAAAACUCCCCAAUGAUUCUACAGCUGCAACCACAGGAGCCCCACUACUACCAGUUCCUUCACCCAUUCUGACAGCAACCAAAACCAGACCAAUGACUUGAACUUUAGACUUCCCCAAUCCAUUAAAUCCAGAAACCACUUGGAGUUAGAAACAUUUUCUACCUCAUCCUAGAACUUUCAGGUAUUUUACAAAGUAAUGGUCGGUAUUUUUCAAAAGCAAAAAGAAAAAAAGGUAAGACUCAAGAAACAGAGCAAACUCAGAAUUCGUUAAUCAAGACUCCAUCUCAUGCUGCACUCAAUGGAUCUAAACAGGUGAGACAAGCAGGGAGCAGUGGCAUGAUUAAUCAAUCUCAAAAAUAAUCCAUAUAUCGGUUAUUGACAGGAAAAAACAAAGAAAGCAGAAAAGAACCCAAACAGAGCAAAUACAAAAACAAACUCAAAUUCAGCAAAUCAAUCCACAAUCAAGAAAAACUAACAAUGCUCAAGUAGCCUGAGAAAAAUGAUGAAGAACAGUGAUAAUGAAAAAUACCCUAAAAAAAAGAACACGAUACUUCAUACCUGUGAAACUCCUCUCCGAUGAAGCUCACCUACCAAACCAAUCUGCUCCCAUCCUUGGCACUAGAACCCCUCUCCGUAGCAGCCUAAGCUCAAGGAAAUCCCUCUCCAGACCGAUCUCUUCUUUCUUCUCAAGUUCUUUUCUCCUCCUCUCAAAAUAUCUCUCCCUGAAAAACGGCAGCCAAAACCUCCCUCUGCAGCUGGCCUGCCCCCGUAACAGAAUACCCCCCUCUAGCUUUCUCACUACCCUCAAAAGCACCCUCUCUCUCCUGCAGCUGCAAGCCUCCACUACCCCCAUGCAGCUGGCAGCCUCUACUCCUCUAACGGCCAGCAGAUUCUCCUUCUAGAAAAUUCUUUCCCUUUUCCAGGUGUCUUUCCCUGAUUGGCCCAUCAAUUCCACUAUAGUGAUUCUACAGUGACCAAUCCUAAGAAGGCACGUGGCCUUAUGAGAUUGCGACACUUGGCAAACACAGGCUGCCAAAAAGUGAGCCCCCAAAUGGGGGUCUACAAUCACAUUUUUAUUUUCAAUAAGAACUCUAAAACUCAUUAAACUAUAAAAUGCAGAUAUACACUCUUGAGAGGACAAUAUGAAGAAUAAAAAGAAAUAAGAAAGAAGCAACAAGAUUUGGAUUUUUAGAUGUGACUCUUAUGUCAUACAUUAUACGACAUAAAUGUUAUUUUAUUUGGAAUUGAGAAUUGUGGGUUUUUUUAUGCAACUCUUGUGUCAUUUGGUUAGCCGGUUUUAUGCAUAUGAAACGUAAGUAUACAUGAAUGUUGGGAUGCUUAACAUUUCUAAAUCAUGUUUUAAUGUGUAUUCACUUUUCUUUUUUAGUUUUGGUGGGUUUGAUAUACUAUGUUUUGUGAACAUUUGAUAUACAAAUAUUAGUGGAUGAUGUAAUGUAUUAUAGGUUAAUCCAUAAGCAUAAAGAAAAUAUAAGUUAAAUGUAAUAUGAUUAUUAUAUUUAUGGACAAAAUUUACACACGUUGAUCUUAUUUAUUAAUAAGCAUUACAAAAAUCUAUAGGCUAGUCAACAAAAAACAACCAUAUCUUCUAUAAUCAUUUACAAUGAAGUGACACCAUAAUUCAAAGGUGAUGCAUUUAACGUGACAUCAUAACUCAAAGGUGAUGCAUUUAAUAUGACACCUUAUAUAUCUCACAUAACUCUAUAUCAAAUUAAGCAUCACUAAAAAUAUAUGGUGUCGCUUCUAAAUGCGUCACAAUUUAUCUGUUUUGGUGUCGCUUCCAAAUACGUCACCAAUUGGUACCCUCUAUGGUAUUGGUGGAUAAGGUGACGCUAUGUUGUAGCGACACCCUAUGUUUAGGGUGACUCGUUAUAAAUGUCACCAUAUAUGUUUUUCCUUGUAGUGUCAUUGGGAAGGUUUUUUCCAUUUUUUAGAGGGGUUUUCUAAAGGCUUCUAGGGUGAGGACACUGUUCUCAUAUUGGCUUUUUUUCCCCCUUUUUAGAGGGGUCUUCUAAAGGCUUCUAAGGUCAACUAGGAGAGCAUGUUGAUUGAUGCUUUGAUAUGGAUACCAGAUGCCACAUUUCAUCUUGUUGAACACUGGUUAGCUAUGGACUUGUUACUGCUUUACUCUUCUGUUUCGAGUUAACUUUGGAAAUGAAUCUGAAUAUAGACUAGUAUUUGCAUCUUGAUGUUUAGAGAAUCAUAUUUUAGUUGUUGUUUAAAAUUCAUUUUGGCAUGUUCGAUUGCUUCAAGCUCAUUUAUACAAUAAUGAAAUGGAGAUUUAUAUAUUUGUUAUUGGGUUGGCUCUCUGUUUGGUUAUCUUUAAGUUCUGCAUCUUUUCUUUUCUCGUUGCCUUAUCUUCUCUGGGGGGUGUCGUUUGAGAAAUACAUAGUGGAAAAAAUGGGAAGCUGAAGGCUUAUCCUGGCAUCGACCUCGCGUUAGGGAACGACUUGAUCGAAGAACAUAUGAAUUUUUCAAAUACCCAGAACUCACAUCAAAAGAAGCAUCGGAGUCAAGGUCAAACACAUCAUCUGACAAGGAAUAUACCUUUGCCUUUGGUGACUUUAUUGACUUCUGCAUGAUGGACAUCCGAGGGUGGGGACUGGAAGAGAAAUGAUGAAUUUGCCCAAGAUAGUUUGUCUAGAAAGGAACUUGUAUUAAAUGAUGAUUACCCACUAUGUCAGAUGUUGAAAUUUGGGUAUGACAACUCCUGGUGGCAUCAGAAAGAUGAGUUGCACAAUCCUUCUCACAGUUGAAAGCUUGACCUCCGAAGUUGGGCUUUUUCAUGGCCAGACAAGAACAGUGAUCACAAUAGUAUGAGCCAAGCCUGUCACGACCCAAAUUCUAGGUGAACUUAACCAUGACUCCAAAUCAAAGGUUUAAACUUAAAGGUUACAUCUAUUCAAUCUAGUAGUCAAUCCUGAUAACUUGAUUUUUUUUUCUUGAUAAAACAAUAUCUAAUCCCAAAUCAAUUUAUUAAGCUAAUAACUUGAUUUUUUUUCUCAAUAAAACAACAUCUAGUCCCAAAUUAAUUUAUUAAGCUAAGAUUUACUAUAUCAUAUUAUUUGAUUUUAUUUUUCAAAAAUCAACCAUUACACUAUCACUUAUUUGCAAGUAUAAUAAAUCUGUCAAACAUCUUAUCACCCAAAAUGAUAACCCAAAUAUUUACAAAAAAAAGUUUUACAAAUUAAUAAAAUAUAGUCUAAGUUAUAAAAGUUCUUAUAAAUUAAAUUAGUAUGUGCUAAAAUAUAAGAUAACUGAAAAAAAAAAAAAAAAAAAAAAAACCAUUAUUAUUAUGGUUCCUUAAAAACUAUAUUUGCAUCUAAAAAUUUUAGAAAAUAAAGGGAUGGACAUUUCCACAUUACUUAGUAAGGUAUUUUACACCCACACAAAUUAGAAAUUCUAAGUCAAUAAAACACAAUCAUAUAUCAAAGUGUAAUUUUACAUCUAAUGUACUACAACUAUAUACAUUUAAACUAAUCAAAAUUAUCACUAACCAUAAUCAGACUCCAAAUAAUACAAAUAACAUUUAUUAUCUCCCAAAAACAUAAUGUGUAAUUUUGUUUCCAAAGAAAAAUAUAAAAUAAAAGUUUUAGGGUUAAACCACCCUACAUCAAAUUUGAAAAUCUAAUUGUUAAAACUAAAAUCAGACUCCGUAAAAAUGUUCUUUAUGUUAAAUAGAGUGUUUUGCUAAAAUCUCAUGCAAAACAGAAUUCAUUUGGCUUGUCGGAUGACAACCCAAAUAUUUGUUGCACCUUCCUUGUUUCUUCUCUUCCUUUGUGUUUCCGUUUGCACUCUUCUCUCUACGGAUCUGGUAAAUAGGGUAGCCCCUGGUACGCUUGGGGCUGGAUUGAAUCCUAUUCGAACUAUAUCUAACUUGAUCUUGUCCAAGCUAGGAAGGUUUUUGGUCUCGAUGACAUUGGAAGUUUCAUCAUUGCUAAAGAAAGGGGCGGCCAAAAAGGCUUAGCGACGACCCUCUCUCGACUUAAAGGAAACGACUUGUCCCAUCCAAUGCCCUACUUUUAAGUGCUCGGUAUGUUCACUUAAUCAAAUCUAGAAGAAGCUUGGCCUCUGUAGAGCAUGAAAAGGCUAGUUUUGAAGCUUUUAAUCGAGGACUUAUUUGCCCUAAAGCCUGACUUCUUAGGAAGAGAAAUGGGCUUGACUUCUUCAUCAACCUCGGAAUCGCAUUCUAUCACACUGGUGGUACUUCUUGUUGAAUUAAAAGAUUGGAUGAGUCUUUUUGUACCCACCCGCCACCCCUGUUUGAGAGUGAUUAAAUAUCAUAACUUCCUUAAUGGACCUACGGACUAGCUAAGGUUUACUUACAUAGUUGUUCUUUCUUUUCUCAAUUUCAAGUUAAAGUUAGCGUUUUUCAGCUUACUGUUUGCUUUGGUUGAGUAGCCGCCUUAUGACCCUUUGCUUUUGAAUGAAAUCAUCUAGAACCUCUCAGAUCGGAUUCCAAUCACCUUAGUGAGUCUCCUAGGUGCGAAGCCAUUCUUUAAGCCCAAAACAAAAGGAGAAGUGAAGUCACUAUCUAGACAAAGGGGCUUGCCUACUUAUAAGGUAGGAGUUCACACCGGGGAAUCGCUUUCUUAAUUAAUUAAAAGCGAGCCAAACUCACCACCUCAUGUACCAAAGUCAAACGGUUGUUCUUCCUUCCCCGCUCCCUUUUUCUCUACAUAUGUGAUGGCGGGCAGAGCGCUCUAUAUGACCGGUGGUGGGUUACCAGAGAAGAUGGGACAACUUCUUUCUCUCUUGCCUUGCUCAAUCUUCCUUUUCUGAUUGAAAGUAGCAAGCCACACCACUACUGGUACAGAGGUCGGAUAGAAGGUUGCUUUUUCUAUAUGUUCAGGCGAAGAACAUCUACGGCACAGUCUUCGCCAAGCAAGAUGAUGUAACUCCUCAAAACAUAAAAAGAGCUCUUAUAUAUGUAAAAACAUGAUAUAUGUGUAAAUGAAUUAUAGCCAUUUUCAAAUAGAUCAGGAUCGUCAGAUGUUUGAAAUGGAAAGUCAAUUUUUCUAUAUGCAUGUAGAUAUCUAUAGGGGAUUAUAUGAAGGGGAUGUUAUUAUUUUAGAUAUAAUCAAUUCCCUUCUCGGAGCCCACUAAGAUCCGGAUCUCCUACGGAAAUGAUUUAGAAGAUCCAAAACCAAAAAUAGUGGUAUUUGCUAGCAACAACAUAAUGGAGGCAGUCAAUCAAUAUAUAUUGAUCUAAAAUCUGAUUCAAAUCCAAUAUAGCACCUAUGGGUACAUAAAAGAAAGGCAAGAGAGAAAAGAAGUCCAUACUUUUCAACAAAGCUUUAAGUGAGUAGGGGUGUAGCAGAUUCAUGCACGUCGAAUAUAAAUGCAGUUGGAUGAGUAGUCGCGGAUUCACAAUGCCGGUUAAAAAGCCAAUCUUAGGGUUGCAUUCACUCCCCUUCUAUAUCUUGCAUCUAUAGUAUUUUUGUCCUGGUGGAUCUCUUUAUCAUUUAAUAAAAGUUUGGAAUCUUGGGUUACUAAUUGGUGGAAUACUAGGCAAUCUAAAACUUUUUUGAAUGAUAUUCAAGAAAACAAUCAAUUUCCCAUCAUUUGCACUAUGAAUGGAAAUGAAAUUCUAGAUCUAGAAUCAGAUGAAUGUGCAACAGUCAAUUUCCUCCCUCACAACCUAAUUGUCCACUAAAAACAACCUUUUUUACUAUACGCUAUUUGGCCGCUAGAAGAACUUCAGUUCUUAUAGGUAAAUGCUCAAUACCCAAGUAGGCCUACAAAGUUGAUCAUGAUCAAGUGCUUUUUGGGUCGUCUUAGACCUUGCAAUAUCUCUCCGGCCCUCUAGCACUCUGUUAUGGCUCAAUCACUUACUCUAGUUCUGGAGUUCUAGGUCCUCUAGCUAUUAGUGCAGGUAGCUCUCCUUCUGGUAAUGCAUUAUAGGUUGUCUUCCUUCCACCUUCCUGUUUUCAAGAAAGCUUAUUUUCUUUCUAAGAAAAAUCAUACAAUCUCGUAUGAGAACGGGAUUGAUGGGAGGCAUAUGCUCCCAGGCUACACAAUGUCUUACAGGGCUUACCCAGUUAGAAGGUAUGUAACUAAAGUCUCAAGAGAAUUGAAAUCGACGAGAAAUCAGAAUCAAUGUUAGAGAUUAGACUUGGCAUGGAAAAAGGAGUAUAGUAAGAUGAUAGAGACCUCGCACGAGAUGCUUACUCGGAUUCAUGCCCAUAAAGAGUAGAAGAUUCAACACAAGUGCAAGAAUAGGUUUCACAGUUAAGAAAGGUUGAGAUUCAGGUGAGUGAGUGAGUCCUCACUGACUUGAGCGAUUUCGAUCACCUAGCAGUUUAUUUGGUAGGUAACAUCGCUAAAGCAUAUCAUCUGAUCUACAAAUGAAGGAAAUCAAAGUGAGACGACACCGUCCUCUGUAACGCAACGAUAGUUGGCCCUUUAUCAUCAACUAUUUGGUAGACUUGGUAAAAGAUGUAAGGCUUUAGCUAGUACACGAAAGUGCAUACCAUGAUUCUUCUGUCUAUCAAUAACUGCAUGCAUUGCACGAUGGAUGUGAAGAAGUAGGCCAUUAUCUCGACAAUAAUGAGCCAAGCUAGUAUUUGCAGUGAAUCCCCCUGUUAAGUAGUCACAUUAAUGGAACAAGAACACAUUAGCGUAUGAAACAGAGCUGAAAGCGCGAGUGCACAAUCUCAAAAACGGCAAAUUCACGUUCUACUUCCUCAAUCUCGAACUCUGUCUAUUGGGAUGAGCUCCCCUUACCUGCGCUAUUCUAUGAACGAACUUCCUUUAUAAACCAUAAAACUGGAACAAUCACUGUUCCAGGGUCUGUCUCAGAGUUCUAUCUCGUGCUUGACAUCAAUUGCAUCCAAACCUUUAAUCGGGUAUACUUUCCACAAUAACAAGCGAGUCAUAGUUAGGUAAAAGUUAUACAGAAAGAUGACAUCGUUGGCGAACUUGAAGCUAGUUAGGUAAAUCCCCUUAUAUUCUUCUUUCUUCUCCCAUAAGACAUUCCUUAUUAUUAUUAUUAUUAUUAUUUUCAUUUUCUCAAUUUCUUUAUCUUUUCAACUUUAAGACACCAUUUUGCACUUCUUCUUUUUUAUUAUAAUUAUUAUUCUUUAUCAACCAUACCAUGUUAAGAAAUUUAUUUAUUUUAAUCCAAAAAUCUACUUAAAUACAAUUUCAUACUUUUCUUAAUAAAUUAUAUAUAUAUAUAUAUAUAUAUAUAUAUAUAUAUAUAUAUAUAUAUAUAUAUAUAUAUAUAUAUAUUAUUUCUUAUUAUAACAAAUUUAAAAUGUCACAUGUAUCAUUUUUUUAAUAAAUCAAAUUAUUAUUCUUUAUUUCAUAUUCUACAAUUAUAAAUUAUACUCAAUAUAUGAUUUAUUGUCUUACGAAAAAUAUACUGCUAUAUUCUUAAUUAAAUUUAUUACAAGUCUACUUUUCAAAAAAAAAUUAAUUUGACUUUAAUUACUUGAAACAUUUUUAUUAUGAAAUUCAUUUAGAACAUGAUUUCAUUAAUUAUAUAUUUAAAAAAAAUCAAUUUUAGAAAAAAAUCUGAAACAUAAAAUAAUUCUUCAACAUCAAGAAGCUGAAAUUCAUAAUAAUAUUUAAUCCUUUAAUUUUACCAAUAUUUAUUUACCAAUAAAAUUUAAGCAAUAUUCUGAAAUUUAAUUCCAUUAGUUAUUUAGUCAUUCAAUUUAUAAAAUCAUAUUCUCAACCUUUGGUAUAACUUUUAUUUAAUUUACUUCAUUUGUCAAAUUUCUCAAUUGAAUCAAAAUUUCAAAAGUUAAAUUCACUAAAUUCAUAUUUAAUUAAUUUAGCCUUUUAUAUUCCCUAAAUUAAUAUAUCAUAAUUUACUCUUAAUGUAAUUUCAAUUCAAUUUUAUUUGAUGUUUUGUAAUUCUAUAAGGUUUAAUUCUAAUUAUAAAAAUUAUUGAUUUCUUAUAAAAUUAAAUUCAAUUUCUUUUUAAUUAUCCAUUAUAACAAUUUGAUAUAAUCUAAAUUUUUAUCAAGUUUUUCUUACUACAAUUCUCUAUAAUUAAAUUAAUGGUCAUAAUAUACUUAAUAUUCAAUUUUAGAGACUAUAAUAUCAAUAAUUAUUUGAUGGUUGAAUUUUUUUCCAAAUUUAAAUUUAAUUUUUGAAAUUCCUACUCUUUGCAUAUGACGUGAUGGAAUUUUUAUACUAUUGACUUUUUAUUAACUUUUUCAAAAAAUUUCUUAAUUAAAUAUUAACACGGGGAUUUUCGUCAUUCUUUUUUAACAUUUGACUAAUGAUUUUAUGAUAACUUUAAUCUGACAUGUCAUUAAAAAUCCGGUUGUUAUAGAGCCAGUCAAAUUAAGCCUGUUAUCCGAGGAGUGAAGCCACUGCCUUGUUCUAUCUCCGAUGGCCUGCUCAGCUCCUUCAACCCCCAUCGCUCUCCUCUUUCCAAGUUCUCCAUUUUCAGUUUAGAGCCAACAAGGAUCGCAGAAAUCCUUAAAGAUUGACCUACAUGGUAUCGUGAGUACCGCGAUGUGGAUGUUCUUAAUGUGUUGUCUACUAGAGCCAAAUGGGUGUUUGAUAAGACCCAGUGAAGGUGUAAAAAUUAUAUGACGAAGCUUGCAGAAAGACUUUGAGUUGAGGGAAGGCAUCUCAACGAAGUUGGGCUUUUGUAUUGUGAAUCUGGCAAAUUACCUAUACUGCAUGGAUCAUCACUCUUUUAACGUGGAGGUACACAGGUCCUUUGCAAUGUGACACUUGGGGCACCACAUCAAGCUGGUGAUGCUCAACGACUGGCUUCUCUGGACGGGUCCUCCAACAAAGCGCUUCAUGCUUCACUGAAAUUUCCCGGAGUUCUCAAUUAAUGAAGUUGGCCAACUCCUUAACCUGCACUGUUCCGCAGCAGUCACAUAAAGAUUUGACAUUGAAAUUGAUCAGGUUUUUCCUCUGCCAAUGGUGGUGGGCGCGCUUUGUAUGUAGAUUCCGAAGGAACUUCCAACUUGAUGGCUGUGAGUGGUAAGGUUGGAGAAGAUACUACUGGGUCUGCCCCAUUAGUUUUCCAUUGUUAAGGUAGUUUGGUGCACAGCUUCCUGGAUCAUCUACACCACGAGCACCUCCAGCCGCCUGUUUUGAUCAGUUUCUGGAUUUCCAUCUCCAAAUUGUGCAAGCAGUGACUGAUAUGGUGUCCAUACAAGCGGCUACUGAAAUGGUUCAAACCCCAAAUGCUGAAGGGAAAGGAGCUUUUGGAAAAUAUCAUGAAGAAGACUCACCCAUCUUACAUGAAAUUAUACACAACUCCAUGGACCAGAACCGGAACCCAGACUUAAAUUUGUCCAAGAGAAGAUCAGUGUAAUACAAGUCAACUGCAGUCAUUCCUGAAAGAAGUGAUGAGAAGAGUAAACCUGGAAAAGCAGUGAGUGAAACAAGUUUUGUGACAUUGAACAAUUUGCAGAUGGGUGUUCCCACAAGCUCCUCUCCCCUCUUCCUACGUGCAUGAAAUUCCUACGUGCAUGGCCACCUUCUUAGGUGUGCAAUUCUGCGCAUAAUUCUCAAGCGUACUAUCACCCUCUUCUUUUUUGAAAAAUUGAUUUUAAAUUUAAAAUUUUGACAAAUUCAUUUCCCUUUUAAAAUCCCUCAGUAAUUCUCUUCAAAUUAAUAAAAUCUAUUUUCAAAAAAAAUUUGCUGCCAUUUUCCUUUUGGCAUAGACCUUUUUCUAUUUUCUUUGAUUUUUAAUCAUUUUCCAAUUUUUUAAUAAAUAUGAAUAAAUUCUAUGUUUUUAAAAAUAAUGGAAUUUUGUCCAAAUUUCUAUUAUCUUUUUCUCCAUGAUCAUUAGAAAGAUGAAAUUCCUAAAAUUAAUUCAUGCAAAUAAAUUGGACAUUGGUAGGCCCAACAUAUGAAUUUUUCUCCUUUGAUUAUUGUUUUUAAUUGCUACACUUGAUUGACUAAUGAUUGAUCUCUGUCUUGCUCUAGCAUACAUGAGAUUAUUUUGUGCUUGUUAUUGUACACUAACCAUGUUUCUCACGAAGCGCUCAACUUAUUCUCAAGUACGUUCUUUCCUUUUCCUAUUCGUUUAGUUAUAACCAAUGUUUUCAAAAUCGGACCGAUCAUUGAAUUGGAAAAGUUACUGGUUCACGGUUCACUGGUCGAAUCGGCGGUCAAAUCACGGUCAAACUAGUGAUGUCAUAAAUAUAUAAUUUAUAAAUUAUUAAAAUUUAAAAUAAUUAUAAAAAUAAAAAUAAUAAUUUAUAUAUUAUUUAAAAAUUAAAAUUUUAUUUAAAAAUUAGAAAAUUAGUUUCAAAUUAGAAAUUAAAAUUAAAAUCAUAAUUUUAAUUUUAAUUUUCAAAUUUUCAAAUUCAUUUUUAAAUAAAAAAAAACUUAUUUUAAAAUCAUGAAUUUAUUUAAAAUUAUAAUAUUUUCAUUAAUUUAAAUUAAAAUCAUAAGUUUUAAACAUCAUGAAAUAAAAAAUAAUAAAUAUAAAAGAAAAUAAAUUAUACUGAAAUGAGGUAAAAAAUAAUUUAAAAAAAUGGAAAAAGAGAGGAGAGGAACAAGCAAAAAAGGGUUCCAACAGGGUUUUGGGGGGUGGGGUUUCCAUUUCUAGCGCCAGGUGGGGGCCCUUCCGGUGGGCCAAAAGGGGAAAAGCUUUUUGGCUUUUCCAGUGCAAGGGGUGCCGAUGGGGUGGGGGGUUCCAAUGGGCAAGAAGAGCUCUUCCAGCGCACGCGGGUAGGAGUGGCGACAAUGGGGAAAAAAAAAAAGUUGAACCGGAUGGUUCCAUCCGAACCGUCCGGUUAGUCGGCCGAACCACCGAUUUAACUAGUCCGACCACUUUCCAGCCCAAUUGACCAAACCAGAUUGAAACCGUGACCAGCCGAUCCAAUCCAAUUUUUAAAGCCAUAAUUAUAGCUCAACCAUAACACAUCAUUGAUCAUUACUUGGUAUUUGUUGACUUUUUGAUCAAUUGUCAUUCUUAUAUUAACUUGAUUAUUAGAGACCUAAUUUUAGGGUAUAAAGGGGUAUUACGAUUUAUCAUCCUACCUUCUCAACAAGUAACCUGACCCUUGAACCCAGACUUGGUUUUUCAUAAACCCGUAUUUUCCUUUCAAGUUUCAUACUUAGAAUUUUUUUUUUUCCAUUUAAAAAUAAAAUAAAGAUACGUGGCCUAAAACCAUUUUCAUCAAUCCAAAGUGAGUCUUGUCUUUUUUUUUUUCAAGUAAGGACACGAUCACAGGUCUACAAUACUAUUUUAAUAUAUAUAAUGAAAUAUAGAUAUUAACGCCAUCUUAAAGAUAUAAUUAAAUUUUUUGUUUAAAAUAAAUUAUAAUAAUUUAAAAAUAAUAUUUUAUUUAAAAUAAAUUUUAGAAUAAGCAAAGUUGAUAUGUGGACAUAGAGAAUCGUGAACCAUUGUAAAUGUAUUGAUUAUAUCUCUUUCUUCCCAUUUCAUUUUUACUUUAGUUUUUAUUAUUCGUAUCUUUUUCUACUAAAAUUUGAAAAAGAAAUUCACAUUCACUUCUUCUUGGGUGUAUAUCAUAGGAUUCAAAAUGUUUUUAAAAAUUAUUAAAUUUGUUAAUUGUGACUAUAUGCUUAUUUAGGAUCCAUUGAUCUUAAUAACUUUCUUCCCGAUAUAGGAAGAAAAUGACUAUUCCAUUAAUGCAGCAUGCAUUGCUGCUUAUUUAUCAAGCAAAUUACAUUAUUAUUUUCACACCAAACCUCCAAAUUCUCCAUGCAUAUACGCAUCCUAUACUGCAUGGCCAACUUCAGAGAGCUAAAACAAGCUCUUAUUGAAUACAUGAUAGAUAAUGUCCCACUGACCCUUUUACUCUGAUACCCUGAAAUGAGAAAUUUGGAGGUUUUCCACAUCAAGCUUCUUGAAAUUACUGCGCCUUCUCGUAACAAAGAACUUUCCCCAGUUGUAUGCUCUAUACUUUGGCUUUUCCCCCUUCGUCAGCUCCUCCAAGGGCUUCACCCAAACAUGGUGCCCGGGACUCAAAACGAACGGAAUCGAGAACCUUUCCCUCUCUGAAUUCACCAUCACCCUGUGCUCCACACUUUCAUAAGUAUCGUUGCUCCAGACCUGGUUUAAUAUCAGUAGAAUUAACCAAAUGAGUGAAAAAUUCCUUGAGCCAAACACUACUGAUAAGCAUGUACUUGUAAUUCAAAGUUCUUGGGUGGUACCUGAACUAUAUCCCCAACAUUGAUGAUAUAAGCAUCUGGGGUGGGCUUAACUCGAACCCAUUCUCCAUCAGUUUUUCGCUUUACUUCCAACCCUCCAACAUCAUCCUGAGCAAGGAAAGUUAAGGCUCCGGAAUCCUUGUGGCGACCAAUGCCCAGAGCUAGGUGAGGAAUGGAGCAAGGUGGGUAGUGAUUGAGGCGGAUGAAGUUUGUUGAUUCUUCAAAGAGAAGAUUGAAUCUGUUCUCUGGCAAACCUAAGCUCAGAGAGAGGAGUCCCAACAGAUUGACAGCUAGUUUUUCCAUUUCUCUAGCAUAUUCUUCACAUACCUCCCUGUAUAAAUCAGCUCAAUUAGAACAAAAAAACUUAAGUAAUUCACUGUAGUGACUGUGCCUUAGCUGGUGGAAUUUGUACCUUAAUUCAGGAGGGUACUGAGGCCACUGAUUGAUCAGCUUUUCGAGCUCCUUGUCGUCAGGAUUAGGCGAAGCAGGGAUGAAGGCGGGGGAUGACGCCACGAUAUCAAAGACUUCCUUCCAGUCCCUAACGUUCUUGGUAUGCUCAGUAUCGAAAUACCCAAAAGGAUUCACCUCAUCUCUACUCACCUUCCUCUUCUCCUCCAAUGGCAGAGCGAAGAACUUCCUCGCCGCAUCCUCAAUUUUACGACGAGACUCGGAGGGCACCCCAUGGUUGAUGACUUGAAAGAAGCCCCAGUUCUUGCACGCAUCAGCUAUUUGAGAAACAUGGUUGGAAGCAUUGGCGGAAGAGAGAUCAAUGAGGGGGAUGCCUUCAGCUUCGAUAACAGCGAGCUUAGGCCUAUGUUGGGUGUCUUGGAUGAAAGCUGGAUCGACCUCUCCCAUGGCUGUGGUAGUGGUUAGAACUUAGAACUUAGAAAUGGCGGUUAUGCACUGCUGGUGUUAGCUGCACGUGAAGAUGGUGAGGGGGACUUGGCCACUUAGCAGGUGGUUUUUGUAGUGUAGUGGGGUUGGUUUAGUACAUUGAACCUGGACAUAAUUGGGGUUACGUUUUAAGUUUUGGUUGGGGGUGUGGGCUCAUGGGUUGCGCAAAUGUCAAUGAUAAUUGGUCAAGUGAUACCAAGUUAUUUCCAAAAUCUGCAGCCGCAAAGGGUAUCUCUCUCGAUGAUUUUGGCAACGUACAGCACUCUCCACAUUCAAAUGUUUGAUCAAAGAUACGUUUUGUUUAGUGUCGUGUAUAUUUUCGAAUUAAUUACUUCAUAUUUAGGGAUACGUUUUGUUGAGUAUCGUGUAUAUUUUCGAAUUAAAAACUUCAUAUUUAGGGAAAAGUGUGCUUCAAUACGCUAAUAUAAAAAUAUCAGCAAAAUAAGAUCCUAAUUUUUCAUAUUUUAAGGUUUAUAAUGCAAUUGGAAAUUAUUUGGAGAAUUAUGCAUUUUCAGCUCAUGUGUAUUUCAAAUCCAAAAUGCUCUCCACCUUGCCAGCCAAGUCUUACACGUUGAAAGUAAAGAGAGAAAAAAUCUUCAAAAAGCCACCAAAACCAAUUUCUCUUUCUUUUUGAGUUAUUUGAUUCAAAAGAUCAAUAAAAUCCAAUUUUUAAAAUUUAACCCUUUGUUCUUUUUUUUUUCAUUUUGAUAAAAAUAUCUUUACCAUUUUCUUGUAGAAAUAACAUUUUUUUUAAACCUAUAUGUAAAUACUUGAAAUGGUAAGAGACGUGUACAUUAAAAAAAAGUUAUUUUUCAAGUAAAAAUAUAGAAAGGAUUAUUUCAUCCCUUUUAACCAAAUAUUUAACAUGAUCAAGGACUAUUCCCUAAAUGAAGGCAUACGGUAGCAAAUACCCUUAAUCUAAACAUUAAAAGUACAACUUAUCUAGUAUCAAACACUCUGUUUUAAAACCCAUAGCCACUCCAAAUAUCCCAAAUAUUCUUUUCUAUGCAACCUCUCUCUCUCUCUUUCUCGCACAAACACACUAAAAUAUUUUCUCAAACUUGGAUUUUUCUCCACAACUCAACCCUAACUUCCUUUCUAUUUGUACCAAGGCUAGAGAAUAUAGUUUAUACUUGUAUUCCUUCAUGUACCAAGCCCACAAGAUGAUCAAUAAGUUUCUCUCUAGAUUUUACAUUGGAGUUGAUUGAUGAUAGUACCCUUAUUAGGUAGUAUAUUAUCUUCCUUAGGUACUGCUUUUUCCAUCCUUAGAUACUACCUUUGUAACCUUGGGUGCAUGAUUGAAUCCAUUGUUUCAUGGCUACUUCAAGUAAGUCAGGAACUUAUGUACAUGUGUGCUACAUGUCUUAUAGAUACUAAAUUUACAUUCUUUAGGUACUACCUUUACCUUCCAUGGGUACAAAUACGGUUAAUGAUAAGAAUUUUAAUAUAAAAAAGGGAAAAACCCUGCUUGAUAAUAAAAUUGCAUAUAUUUUCUUUCUUUCUUUCCUUUUUGAUUGAUUUUUUUUUUUUUUGGUCUUUGCUUUGGUUUUUAUUUAUGUCUUUGUUUCUUUUAGUCUUUGUGUGUGUGUGUUUUAUUUUAUCUUAUUUUCAUCUCUAUGCAGAAGAUGUAGAAGAAACAACAUCACAUCAUAAGGUGCAUUUUUCCGUUCAUUUAAGACUAAAGGUUUUGGAUUCACAAAAUGGUGGGAACUAAGGGUGAGAAGCUGGAAAAAUGUUGGAUUGAGCUACAUUUGAUCAAUGGUGAAUUUGCAAAAAAGAUUGUAGGAGAGUGUAGACCCUCAAUUUUGUCCCUUUAGCACAUGUUUUAAAGUCCAUUACCAAUACUUUACAGUAAUCUCUUGGUAGCCCAUAGCUACUCACGCUACUUACCUUUCUUGAGCCACCUCGGAGACUCUAGUUGAGGGAUUGCCUAACCCCUUAUUGUGACCCUUGGCAGUUUUGAUUUAGACUUAAGGUUUUCAUUCCUUCUUAGGAUAGCUCUUAGGUGCACUUUUAGGUCCACUUAGGCAUCACCCUUGGCUAAUUUAGACAUUUUGGGCCCGUUUAGACACCUUAAACUCGCCUAGAUUCACCUUAGACCCGCUUAAGCACUUCAUUGGGGCUCAACAUUUUUAUAUAAUCUCUUGAUCAUUAUUGCAUGCAUUUGAUGAUUAUAUUUUCUUUGUUUAUUCAUUUAUUUGUUUGUUUAUUUAUUCAUCCAUUUAUUUAUUCAUUUUUUAAUUUCUAUUACGUCUUGUUUUUUUUUUUCUUUCUUUCUUUCAUUUAUUUACCUACUUAAUAGAGAAUUGUUUAGAUAUUAAAUAUGCAUACAACCCCCUUAUUGAAUGAUGGAAUUGUACAAUCUGAUAUCUCAUUUUCUCUUUCAUUUUCUUUUAAUCGUAUUUCACUUUAUUACCAAUUUCAUGACUUUCAUUAGUUGCUUCUCUUUUCCUUUGAUUUUUUAAUCUUAUCUUAUUUUGUUUUGCAUAAGGAGCACCAUCUUGGGGAGUACAAGAGGAUCUACAUUACUGGUUUGAUCAACAUAUGUUUGAGACUAAAAGCCUUCAAGAUGGCAAAAGAUGGUCAUCACAGCCCCAUGCUUCUUCUUCCCAUCUCUCAUAAUUGAAGCCUCUGUACAAAACUUCAUCAUAUCCUGAACAAUAGCAGCCACAGCAGUUGCAGCCACAGCAGCUGCAGCCACAGCAACUGCAGCCACAACAGCUGCAGCCACAGCAGCUGCAGCGACAGCGGCAACCACAGUUAAUGCUGCAACAGCAGCCACAGCAGCAUAGACUGCAUCAUCCAGUUCAACCUUCAUUUGGUCAUUUAUCAGGGUUGCAGCCCCAACUAUUUAAUCCCCAUCUUUCCCCAGCUCCACUCAUCAUGAACAAAUAUGAAGCAAUGCUUGGGAUAGGUAAUCUGAGGGAUCAAAGACCCAAGUCAAUGCAAAAAGGUAGACCAAAUCAUCGGGUUUCUCAACAGGGCUUGGAUACUAGCAGUCGGAAGAGUGAUGUUGGUGGCCACAGUUCAGAUCCAAGUAUAUGACAGCUGAUGAAAUCGAAAGUAUCCUUAGAAUGCAACGUUGCGGAACAGAUGGAUGAGUAGAAAGGAAAAUAGCAUGAAAAUAGAAAGGAAGUGACCACUUUGUGCACAACACGCAUAUAGUGGGCUGUAAGGGGGAUUCUUUUUUGUUUAGAAAGAAAAGUCAACUUGUAUCACUUACUAAACGAGAUGUGGCUGCAUCCUUGAGGGAAUCUCCCAAUGAGCCACCAUGUAUGCACUUUCCUUAUCCAUGUGCAUUGAAAAAGGAUAUAGAAUAUUCAAUAGAGGAAAGGUGCUGCCAUAUAGAAGGAAGGUGCUGCCAUAUAAACAUGUCACAGAGAGAACACACGGUGGACUUUUCUUUUGGGAGCAGAAAUUCACAUACAAAAAGUAAUCUUUUUUAGAGGAGAUGAACACACGCAAGAGUUUUUUUUUGGGAGCGGUAGAGGACCUGAACGACUAAUUGGGCUGCCAUUUUGACACAUCAAGAAAGUAUUUUUCCAAUACAAUACAGGUUAGUUUUCGAUUUUUGAUACCGUAUUUCCUUUUUUUUUUAGUUUGGGUUUUAGUUGUUUGGUUUAAUUAAUUGUUUGUGAUAAAUUCUUUUAAAUCUCGAUUUCGAACAAUCUUUUAUUUUUCUUAUAUUAAAUGUCUAUCUUUUAUGAUUGCAAUUCAUUAGUUCUAUGCUAGUUUAUUUUUAAUUUACAUGAAAGUUUAAAUAAAGUUUAUAUUUUUAAUUCCAAUUAGUUUAUUUUUAAAUUUGAAUGAGUUAUCGAUCUUAAUUAUUUAGUUUAAUUGACCUUGUGAGAUAAAAUUUAUAUUUUUAAUUCUAAUUAGUUUAAUUUUAGUUUAUUUUUAAUUUGAAUGAGUUAUCGAUCUUAAUUCUUUAGUUUAAUCGACCUUGUGAGAUAAAAUUUAUAUUUUUAAUUCCAAUUAGUUUAAUUUUAGUUUAUUUUUAAUUUGAAUGAGUUAUCGAUUUUAAUUCUUUGGUUUAAUUGUCCUUGUGAGAUAAAAUUUAUAUUUUUAAUUCCAAUUAGUUUAAUUUUAGUUUAUUUUUAAUUUGAAUGAGUUAUUGAUCUUAAAUCUAUUAGUUUAAUUGGACUUGUAAGGUAAAGUUUAUAUUUUUAAUUCCGAUUAGUUUAAUUUUAGUUUAUUUUUAAUUUGAAUGAGUUAUUGAUCUUAAAUCUAUUAGUUUAAUUGGACUUGUAAGGUAAAAUUUAUAUUUUUAAUUCUAAUUAGUUUAAUUUUAGUUUAUUUUUAAUUCGAAUGAGUCAUUGAUCUUAAUCUAUUAGUUUAAUUGGUCUUGUAAGGUAAAGUUUAUAUUUUUAAUUCCGAUUAGUUUAAAUUCUAGUUUAUUUUUAAUUUGAAUGUGUUAUCGAUCUUAAUUCUUUAGUUUAAUCGAUCUUGUGAGGUAAAGUUUACAUUUUUAAUUCCAAUUAGUCUAAUUCUAGUUAUUCAUGUGUUUCUUGAAAUCUAAAUGUUAGUUUUUGAAUGAUAAUUUUGUUAGUUUGUUUGAUUAGGAAGUCAUAAAUUUGUUGUCUUAGUGAUUGUUGGUCAAUUUUUUUUUAGGACCACUGGAAACCCAUGAAGGUUGGCCUUUACUCUCACCACUUUAAUUGAUAAGAUUUUCUAAAAUCUUUAUUUCGUGAUCUUUGUUUCCUUUUGUUUUGAUUGAUAUUUUGUUUUCUAUUUUUGUUAUUUUAAAAAUUAAUUUCUUUUAUUUUAAAACAAAACUCUUUUUCUCAAAAAAACCCUUUUUAAAAUUUUUUUUUUAUUAUUCAUUUAAAGCCUCUAGAAUCAAAAUCUAUUUUCUUUUUUAAAAAAUAACAUGCAACCAUAUCUUAAUCAGUUUGCAUCCUUCUCAAUUUUCAACAAAAAUAUCCUUCUCAAUUUUCAACAAAAAUUUUGGUUUUAAACAAAACGCGAAUCAAAGCUUGUGGUCCCAAAUAAAUGGAACAAUUUUAGGCUAAAUUCAUGUAUAUUAAUUUGGGGAAUUGGUGAAACCCCUACAUAAGAAAAUCUUUUCAAAAUUUACUUUUGCUACCACCCUACUAUUUAUCAUAAUCAUAUUUACUUUUUUUCUUUUUAGGAAUUGUAUACAAGAUAUGUAUGAUAAUUAAUUAUUCCGAGUUCUGAUAAUUUUUGCUAAUUAAUUAGAUAAGCAUGCUAGGAUUUAUUAUUUAUUAUCUAUUAUCUAUUAUCUAACCCUCAUGUUCUGAGGAAGUGCAUUAGGAGUUAUAUAUGCUAUCCAGGUACGUUCCCAAAAUCUCAUGAAUAUGCAUGUCAUUACCCUUGUUUGAUGCCAUACUUGAUUGCCUCGAUGCUUGUUUGAUCAUCCUUGAUAAAAUGCAUGUCGUGUGUCAUAUUUCUGAAUUAACCAUUGAUGUUUAAUGAUAGUGCUUAAGAAGUGGUUCAGGUACGCACCCUAACUCUCCUUUAUUGUGAUUGAUCUCCUUAUUUAGCAUGCUACUUUCUGAAAAUCACCUAGCUUACUUAAGUAUCCAUAAUUAAUCAAUUAAUUGCCUCAUUUCCCCAAUUUAGUCAGUAAAGACCUCUUUAGGGCUUAGAAGGGUGCUACCUCCUAGAGGUACCUUCCCAAUAAGUAACCUGAUCCCCGGACCUAGACUCGGGUUUUUCAAAGACAUGUUUUUUUCAAAAAUUAUGGAGUCACAUUUUAGGGUUUUUCUUUCUUGUUUUAUUUUCCCUUUAAAAUAAAAAUAAAAUAAGUGGCGGCUCCAACUUUUCCAAAACUAAAUAAUUUUUCACAAAUAAAAAAAGAGUCUCGCCAAUCGAGUGGGGACGCAUGUGAAAAAUGCAGGUCCACAGAGAGGUUUCUUGAGGUGGACAAGGUCAGAAGCAAAGAGCCUUUCCCUACUUUUUGGGGUUGGUUCCUUGAGUUCUUAGGAAGAACUUAGUUAACGUGUGAAUUCAUUCAGGGUAAUUUAUGUAAGAUUUUCUAGAUUUUGCAAGUGAAUGCACCUUAGCUUUUCCUAUUGUAUUUGUGUUUUUUUAGGUUGAUUAUUUUAUUGAUUGUCACCACUCAAGGAAUGGAAGCAAUAGGGUCUCUAGAUGUAGUGCCUAAAGGCAAGCAUACAGGCGUUGUUAGGAGUGUGCUUCCCAUGUCCAACAAGCAUAUUGACACCACCCAAAGCCAAGGCAUCUUUGGACUAGGAGUUCUAGCUUCUACUUAUGUGGACUUUGUAGAUGCAGUCUGGCUCUUCGAAAUAUUUAUUGUUAUGUAGUAGUUAUACACAUGUACUUUGUUUAAGUGAAUUGAUUUUUGGAUUUUUACUUAAAUCAAAUUUAAGGGUAUGUUGUUUAAUUUACUAGAGAUCUCUUGUUUGUAAUUCUCGUUAUCAUAUAUAGAUCUUUGUUAGUAUUUGCCAAUUUCCUCAAUAGCAACUGUAUUAGUUAUCAAUGGAAUGAAUCUUGAGUAACUUGUAGUAUCAUUUUUGGUUUUGAAUUGGCUAAUCUUUUUUGGAAGAAUGAAUUAGAUAUAUGAGCUUGAUUGCAAGCAAUAGUUGAGUUUGUUUUGAUCUUGGGGUAUUUGCCUUAUUGAUAGGACAUAGAUUUUGGGUCCAAAUAGUUGGAAAUUGAUGAGCUUAACCAGGACAUAGAUUUUAUCCCCUUGGGAGAACCACAACACUAACCAGUGUUCCUACAAAAGCUAAUAACCAUGAUUUAGAAAUGUGAUUUCCCUAAAGGGAAGCAUUUCUAAUCUUAUUUGAAGGGAAACUUUGAUGUCUUCCUUAAUACACUAGAAUAUUAAUUUAAAAACAACAAUUAAGGUUAUAUUAACUAUUAUAAUAAUUUAUAAAUUACAUAAAUAUGAUAAUAACUAUUAAAAUAAAAGUAUUAAACAUAAAAAUGUUUAAUUCUGUUGGGUAAAAACUUCAUAAAUAUUUUAUUAUUGAACUUCUAUCAUAUGAUCAAACAUAGUGAUGAUCCUUAGUUGGAUUAAUUAACACUUGUUUCAUAAAUUGAACAACAUAUAACAUGAUCAAUAAACAAACAAGUAAACAUCAUACUAGAUAAAACUAUCUCUUAAGAUUUCAAUUAUUACAUGUUUAAAUUACAAAUCAUAUUUUUGCAACUUUCGUAAAGUUAUGCAAUAGAUAUAAUUAAAAUUAUGAAACAUUGAAAAUGUAUAUUGAUUCAUUAUUCAAAUUCAUCAUAUCAUAUAUAUACUUUAGUUGUCCAUAAGAUCAAAUAAUAACCAAAAUUCGAAAAAUAUGUUUUAUGAUCCAAAAUUGAUUGACACUAAUAUCAAUUGUUACAUAAACUUUAUGUGAAAUAAUUAUUUUGGAAAAUCAAUUUGGAUGCAUAAAGCAUAAUAGUUAUAAGAAAUAAAGAAAUGACAAAAUAAUAAUUAUAUUUUUGUCUUAAUCCAUGAUACCGAUAACACUUUUAAAGUGAGUUCGAGUCACUUUGUGAAUUGUUGGGUCAAGGUAUUCAACUCAUCAUUCUCAUUUAGUAGAUGAGACAAUUGUGUGGUAUAUGUUGUUAUAAGCAAAACAACUAAAAACAUAAGAAUACAAUACAACUUAGGACCUUAACUUUAAAAAAAGAUUUAUAACUCUUAAUCUUCUCAUAAAAGAUUAUAUGAGAGUUAUACUCAUUAUUUUUAAACAUUAUAUAUAAAUUAAUGGACAAUAGUAAACUACCAACUUGAAUACAUUCAUGUAAUUAUAUAAAUUACACUUUUUCAUCUUCCUCUAUUAGUCAUAAACUUUAUAUAUAAAUUAAAUCUCAUAAUGAUGGAGUUACAAAAGUUGUAAUACCAUAUUCGUAUAAAUGAAAAUUUUCUAACUCCAUAUUUAUAAUUUUAAUUUUCUAUGUUAGAAGUUGAAUUUGUUCCACAUCGCCAAGUUACCGGGUUAUUAUGUUGUUUAUAUAUGUGGAUUGGGCACCCUCUCCCUUUAAGCAAGCUUUUAGGGAUGAAUUAUAUUCAAACCCAUUUAACAUGGUAUCAGAGCUUGGUUUGACUGGGGGUCGUGGGUUCAAGCCACCUCUUCGCAAUUCGUAUGUUUGUUCCUCAUUUGCAUGUUUGAAAGUCUAGAAAAGGGUAUUUGCAUUUGUUUGUUUGUCCCUUCACGUGUGGAUAUGGGGCCACACAUAAGAUAUGGUGUUAAAAAGCAUGAAAUGUAUAUUGAACCCAAAUCUUAUAAGUUUAAGCUUUUAGGAAAAUUAGUAAUUCAACAUUCUAUACAUAAAAUUAUUUGAUGUCCAAUCAAUUGAUUCACCUACCUAUCAAUUAAUAUACUUUUAAAUAAAAUAUAUUUCAAUCCAUUACACAAAUAUAAUUAAAACAAAGUACUAUAAUAAUAUGAGUAUGUGACAAAUAAAUAAAAUAAAAAUAAUCACAUGUUACAUGUAAACUAUAUUCAAAGGAAAAACCACAAGUCAUCCCCACUAUUAAACAAUCCAUUGUAUAAUGAUCAAUUACAAAGACCAAGUAUUACCAAACUUAAAAGUAUCUAAAUCAUACUCACUUUGCACAUUUUCUUUAUACUUGGAUCCUUUAAACUCAUUUAUCCCAAUGUGGAAGCAUCUUGAGUUCUAAUCAAGGAAAUCAACCUUUACUUCAUCAAGUUAAAGUCUCUUUAUAUCAUUGACAACCAUAUCAAGAUUUCUUUUGUUGGUUGCUUUCAAAGUCCCACUAGAAUUAGAUUGAAAUUUUUAUAAUCUCUAGAACUUUAACAUAUUAAUUCUUCAAUGAGUCAAUCAAAUAUUAAGUUUUAUCUCCAUAGAUGGACCUCAAUGAAUUUUUCGACAAAGGUGUUAACACUAAUUUCAUAUUAGUAAAAAAAAAUCAUGUGACACAUAUUGAUAUAUAUAUAUAUAUACUAAUUUCAUAUUCAUAGAUUGAAUUCAUGAGAAAAUUAUUCUUAAUUUUGUAAAAAUUAUAUAUAUAAGAAAGUUUUUAGGCUUACUAAAACACAUUACUAACCAAGUGGCAAUAUAUUUAUAAUUUAGGUCUCAUUAUUUUGUAAUCAAGUUUCAUUCAUUUGUAUCAUAUAUGAGUCCUAUUAUGUCAUACCUUACUCUUAUUACAUUGUACUUUGAUCUUAUUUGUUUAAACAUCGAUUUCAUUUCUUUAUAUGUACAUCACAUUUAUUUAUAUCUCAAUCUUAAUUAUUUGUAUCUUUAUUUAACAGUUUAGAUUUCAUUACAUAUUUUUAAAAUUUUAAUUUGAAAUUCGAUAUCUUAGUAUUUUUCUAAAAUAGCUACCUAUAAUCCUUGUAGAGUACUCAAAAUUCACUCCAACCCAUAAAAAAAAAUGACCUCUCUUCGUAAGUUGCUAUACUCAUUGCUAAACUAUAAUUCCAAAAUUAGCAGAACUUUUCAUACUUAUUCUAGGCAAUUAGAGUUGAGAUGUUCCGGGCAUAUACCAUAUUCUUUCAAGAUUUGAAAGAAAUGUUACGAUUUCAGCAUUAAAUAAUGCAUGUCGAUUAACAAUAUUGCUCAGAUUCUUUAGGCAAAGGUCCACAGACAAAAAAAUUAUUUAUUUAUUUUCUGAACCACCCCUGAAAUUGACACCUCCCAUACAGUCUGAUCUGCAUUUCUGUGGCACUAUUUCCCUUAUUCCUAACCAUAAAUCUGCUGCCAUCUCAAUAAUUCACAUCCUUAUCCACUCCUUAUCUAGGGUUGUAACACUUUUUUCAAAAAGAUUUUUUUUUUUUUUUUUCGAAGGGGUGGAUAAGGGUCCUGAGACAAGCUGUGGUAUAAUUAUAAACCCACUUGGGUAAUGGUUUCAUUGUCAGGGUAAUUCUAUUUAAGGUGAAAAUCAGCUGGGUCUAUCAUUCUUGUUUCCAUGUGACUGUUUCCAAGGAGAACUCAACCCUCAAAUCCAUCGAGCAGUCAUAUAAAAAUACACGCAGAUUUCAUAUCUUGAAGCUUGUCCUGUGUUCAGAUCGGAUAACUCACUCAUAUGCCUAAUCACUAAUCGCCAACUUGAGUGUAAAAAAAGCGUGGGGCGAUAUUAUUUGUAUAUGGGUUUGACUGUUUGAGAGAGAAAGGUGGGGUGUCCCUUGGAGGAGUCCAAAGGCCAUUUUUGAACCUGCCUUUGAUUAUCGCCAUGGCAAAUCAACAGCUUGUAGUAUAUAUAUAUUAAUGGAGACCAAGACUCAAAUAGAGAGAGAGACGCGGGGAUGCGAUAAAGAGAACAGUAUAGCCAAGAGUAUAUAAGCAUUUCUCUUGCUGUAAUGGUGAUUCAGAGACUGGAAAUGUGUAUAUCACUGCUGAAAAUGGCAGUAGAGUUUGUGCUUGUUUUCGCGGAGGCAGUCGGGCUAGUCAUCAACCACAAUGCCACGCCGCUUUUGGCAAACUCAGCCUCAGUUGGCAAUGAUGUUUCUGUCCCUUUUAUCGGUUUUCUUCUUUGAAUUCUUCGUCUUGUAGUUUCCUUCCUUACCAGAAUGCUCAUUGGCCAUUGUAUAUGUUGAGGGUUCUUUUUUGCCUUGAUAGAUUUUCUAAAGGAUGUGCAUGUUUGAUAGGAGAGAGUAUAUAUACACAUCUAUGUAAACUUUGAUUAAAUUUUGUUCUGGGUGAGCUUCAUUUUCUGCAAAUUCAUUUGCUGAUAGCUUUGGAAACGAAUCUUCAGUUGUUUGGGUGCUGAUUAUUUGCUUGCUUCACACGAUUUUAUGUGCUGUUCCUUUGGUAAUAAUCUUGUUGGGUGGAUCAAGGAGAAGAGCGAAGAUCUGAGGGAAAAUAGAGUCUGGAGAAAGAAAAGAUGUAAUGAUGAUUAAGAAAGGCUUUAAUAUACUUGCAAGAUCAGGAAAAAAUAUUUCUUGGGUAUCAAUUAUUUUCUUGCUUGAUAUGGGUUUGAUACUCUUUUUCAAUUGGUGAUCAUUCUGGGAAGAUCAAGAAGAAGAAAAUGGGGUCUAGAUGAAGAAAAGCUAUAAUGGCGAUUAUUAAGUGGAAUCAGAUGAAAUAAAAGUCUGUUUCCAUCAUUCUUAAUAUGGUUUCUUUUGUCAAAAAUGGAAGAUGACUUGAUUUUCAUAGUCCCAGCAGGACUUUAGUACUCAUCAAACUCAUAAAUUUUGAACAACUUUGAGCUAACCUUCUGCAUUAAUUUGGUGCAUCUGCGCAGUUGCAGAGUAUGAACACCCACAAAAUCUUAAUAUGAAUCUUUUGGGGCAAUAGCUUCUAUAUAUGAUGGAUGAUAAGAACAAAGCAAAUCUUGGGUUCUCCAUGGGCACGAUCAUUUAUCCGCCAUAUAAAAUGCAGAUUUUCCUAACACCAACCCCUUAUUUUAAUAAAGUCAAGUUAUUUUAAGGCCCCCAAUAUUAGACAUGCCUUAGAAUCAUUGGGUCUGUGAUUAAAAAUGUAGUAAUAUCAUUUAAAAUACCUAACACUGAAAUUUUGAUAAUUUUGAAUGCCAUAGUGUGGAUUUGAAGAAAGAAAUCGCAUCCAAGAUCUCUUCCUUUUCCUGGGAAACAUUAGUCUUGGUCAAUUAUGAACUGUUACACGUUGCCUAUCAUGGUCAUAUUUAUAUUAGCUUUGAUUUCUAUGGGGGAUAUAAUUUAUUUGUAUGCUAAUCAUAGAGGUGAUACAUGUGAUCCACAUGUCAUAUUUGGACUUGGAAGCAAUCAUUGGAUUCCUUUGAUGAACUGGCAAUGGAAGAAUACUAAUUGCUCCGGUCCCUUUCUUUUUUCAAAGUAGGAUGAUCAGGUCCUUUGAUCCCUUCGACUCCCUCUGGCUGUUUUUCUUUGUUCUUUUUUCAAUCAUCCAUAGCUUAAAAUUAAAGCCUUGAUGCCCUCCUCGACUUUCCCAAGAUAAAACACCUUAUCUUCACUUUAUUUCUCUUCCCUUUAAAUUUGAUUUUAGAUCUGAAAUCCAGGGCUUAUGACCCUGUAGAAGAAAGACAGAUAUGAAGCUUGGGAUGAUUUGAACUUCAGUUUGAUUUUCUGCACACUCUGUUAAAACUCCUGAAAUAUAGUUGUAUAUUGCAAUACAUUUAAUUGUUUGAUACAUCUGAACUAUGAUGUUCUAUUAGUAAAAAUUUCUUUGAAUCAAUCCACGGCUCAAAGUACCAAUUUCUAUUGAAACUUUUUUUCUUUUCCUGCUCAUUCAAUUGUUUCAUUUUCCACAUAAUGGUAUGACAACAUCAAGAAUACUUCUCAGCAAUUGCCUGCAGGUGAACCCAAAGCUCUUUUGGCUUAGAGAUCAUGACCAUGUGAUCAGAUCCUUUAAUCUCUUUAACAGCAUCAGGUGGGUUUUUUUCAAUCAUCCAGAGUUGAAAAUCCCUUUUCCCCAGCUUGUCUUCCUCUGAAAUAAUAAAGACACGUUUAACCGAGGCAUAUUUCUUCGACAACAUGAGCUCAUUUGACAUGUCUUCUUCAAUGAACAAGCGUACGGGUCUCAUCAACACAGUCCCUAGUGCCAAGUCCUGGAAUAUUUGUGCCCGAAAUGAUAUGACAACAACAAUGAAGGUCUCAUGAUUUUGGUUGUAAGGCCUUAAUAAAUGGAGUUCUCACCUCAGUUGGGCUCAACUGAUACACAUUCAGUGAUAAGAACAAGGGGCCAAAGCUGAAAGUGGUGGGAGGAUUGUUGGGGCCAUUAUCAUAUGUGAACUGGCUGUCUAGUAGAGGACCUUGUCUCCUGAGUGACUUCAAUAAGAAGUAGAAACCAGGCUAAAAGUCAGAAACAGGGGAAGCCUUCCCCUCUUAAUCAGCAAGUAAAUUUCUGUAAAAGAAAAAUAGUAUGUAUGAAGUACCUCUUGAUUGAGAGUGGAAAUGUUGAGAGUGGGACCAGGCAUUGAGGCAGUAACAAAAACAGCUACAGAAACCUUUUCUGGGAACUUCUCCAUGGCCUGAGAAAUGGCCAAUCCACCCAAGCUGUGUCCAACGAGAACCACCCUCUCAUCUGCAGGGAGUGACUCCACGAAGUCCCUCAGUGGCUGGAAAUACCAAGAAAUUGAUCGCAGAUCACCCACUUGUUUUGGGUUAAUUCCAGAAGCAGCCAAGUCCAGAGCAGUAACUUUGUGGCCAGAUGAUUUUAGUAGUGCCACAAUCUUGUACCAAGACCAGGCACCAUGGCAAGACCCAUGAACUAGAACAAAGUGCUUGACGGGAUUAGCCUGUCUCCCCUCUGAUGCCAUUGGAUACACUGAAGAAACAAGAAAAAUCAGAAAGGAAACAAAAAUCAUAUGCUUCUUCCUUGCUUCCAUACUCCUUUCCUGUUACAGAGAUGGUCAGCACCCCAGCAUUUUAAAGGGCACAAUUGGGUAGGUUUUCACUACAACUACUAAUCUAAUUGAUUAAAAAUUUUCCCGUGAAAUUGACUCUAGAAAUAAAAUAAGGACUAAGGAUUCAAGAACACGUACACUUUGACUGCCAGAGUUUAUGUCUUUUCAUAGAUGACACAUGCACCUGCGUCACACUCUUUUUCAAUGAUAAAGAAGUUAUGCAAAGGAAGAAAGAAUGAAAUAUACAGAGUCAAGUAGUUAACUCCUCCCCUUGAAUUCUUCUCUUGCCCGGAUUGGUUUGUAACUGCAAACAUUUUCUUUUCCCAAUGUGAUCUGUGGAUUGAGUUCUGAUCUCAAUUUGUUUUUGGCAUUUUUGGUUUUGCUUCUGCAAAUCUUGAGAUGUAUCUUUCAAUUAAUAUAAGUUGUGCAGUUAAGGUUUUUGGACAUAUAAAAUGUUAGCCAAACCUUUCCCGUGGCAGGUUGAAGGUACUUUGGGGUAGGCUUGGUCAUGCUUGAUACCUCAGUCUGACUCAAACAUGAUGUUUUCACCCAUUUGAAUUGAUCAAAGUUGUGUUGACUGGCAUGAUUCCUUUAAUAAAGAAGUUGUUUUAGGAUUAAGGCGUACAACACAAAUUUGACUUAAGUAGAUCUAUUUAAUUAUUGUGUAUUAACAUAAUUAUAAUCAAUUGAGUCGAAAAUGAAUUAAAUUAAAAAGUUAAUUUUAUUGAUUUAAAUAAGACCUAAUUCAACCUGAUUAUUAAAUUACUCAACUUAUUAUAUGAUUUGAACACUGCCCACCAACAUUAAUUGUAACCCGUGCUUUGAGUUCAGGUGGCAGCAAGAGUUUGGCCUUUGUUUUGAGUGUUGGAUGAAUGUUGGAUUAACCUUUCCCAUGGCUGUCAAAUUCCUCAUAAAUUAUUGGUGAUUGUAAUAAUUUCCUCAAAAAGUAAUGGUGCUAUAUGCUUCUUUAGGAUCCAUUGAUCUUAAUAAUUCUCUUCCUGGUAUAGGAAGAAAGUGACUAUUCCAUUACUGCAGCUUUCAUUGCUGCUUAUUUAUCAAGCAAAUUACAUUAUUAUUUUCACACCAAAUCUCCAAAUUCACCAUGUACUUAUCCUAUAUACUGCAUGGUGAACUUCAGAGAGCUAAAACAAGCUCUUAUUGAAUACAUGAUAGAUGAUGUCCCACUGACCCUUUUACUCUGAUACCUUGAAAUGAGAAAUUUGGAGGUUUUCCACAUCAAGCUUCUUGAAAUUACUGCGCCUUCUCGCAGCAAAGAACUUUCCCCAGUUGUAUGCUCUGUACUUUGGCUUUUCUCCCUUCGUCAGCUCCUCCAAGGGCUUCACCCAAACAUGGUGCCCGGGACUGAAAAAGACCGGAAUUGAGAACCUUUCCCUCUCUGAAUUCACCGUCACCCUGUGCUCGACACUUUCAUAAGUAUCGUUGCUCCAGACCUGGUUUAAUAUCAGUAUAAUUAGCCAAAAGGGUGCAAAAUUUCUUGAUCCCAACAGUACUGAUAAGCAUGUACUUAUAAUUCAAAGUUCUUGGGUGGUACCUGAAUUAUAUCCCCAACAUUGAUGAUAAAAGCAUCUGGGGUGGGCUUAACUCGAACCCAUUCUCCAUUGGUUUUUCGCUUUACUUCCAACCCUCCAACAUCAUCCUGGGCAAGGAUGGUUAAGGCUCUGGAAUCCUUGUGGCGACCAACGCCCAAAGCUAGGUGAGGGAUGGGGCAAGGUGGGUAGUGAUUGAGGCGGAUGAAGUUUGUUGAUUCUUCAAAGAGAAUAUUGAAUCUGUUUUCUGGCA